rnacentral:lncRNA from 1 species
UCCUGAAACCUAGAUCUCCAUUAUGUUUGGAAGCAAACACUGAACAGACAAUGUUGUUCCGUUCGAAGGGGCCUAGAAAUUUGAUCCAGAAAGUAUAUGACAUCACAAUAUAGUUAUAUAUACAGGUUUGUAGAAACUGAUAUAUCUAUACUUGUCGUACAGAAAGUGGGGAUGGUUGGUUGGCCGACCUUCGCUGAAACUUAUUUUGCCAAUUGACCUUUAAGUUUAAAUUAUUAGCUAGAUUACCUUCUUGAUUAAUUUGGGUAAUGUGUGAUUUGAGUUAAUGAAAAGAUGAAGUGGAAAGUUGACUACAGCCUCAAAGUUUCAUUUAUGAUACUUUGGCCACACUAUACAAAUAUAUCAUCUACCAAAAAUAGAAAAAAAACCAUUUCCAUCCAUCCUCCACCCUCCUCUUCCUGUUCUGACGUGAACAUUCGCCAUUCCCUCCUUCCCCUUUUGGCUCGCAUUUUCCUUCGUUUGUCGCAUAAAGGUUACUUGUACCUUCUCCCUUCUUCCCCCUUUCAUCUCAAAAUCACAUUUGCAUCGCAACAGUGGAGAAUUAUUUAGGGAGGAAGCUCAGAUUCGUGAUUUGGAGCUGAAUUGGCGAUAUGUUAGAUUAGGCAAUACUUUUGUACGUUAGAUUGGGCAUUACUUUUAAGGGAUAUAUUAUGUCCUGUGUUCGUCUUGUAAGUGAUUAAAUCUCUUCUUCUUCGUCAUUGUGCAUUUUAAUUUUUGCAUAUUUGAGCCCUACUACUCUGCAAUUUGUUAAGCCACUCGACCACUAGUGCACAAUAGACCAUAGUUAAAUAGACCGGUGGUUCACAACAAACUAAUGGGAGACUAUGUAUUAGUAUGAUGUCUUUAUUUUAGUGAAGGGUUGAAGGGUGAUAUAACUGGACUUGGAAUUCUGAUUCAAAGGCGACAUUACCUAUUCGUAAACGCAUCAAUGGUGCAUAUAAUGAUUUUGUUAGUGCCGUCAUUAAAUAUAGCCAAUAACAUGUUUGCCGAGACAGCUGAAUAAUACUUACAUGCUUAGUUUAGCGCCAACGAGGGACAUGAUUCCUCUUUCCUUCAUAAAGAAUGAUGUUGCAGUUGAUGAGGCGGCUGAAGUUUCAUUUGAAAGGUCUCAUCAAGGUUCUAAUGUCGCAGCUGCACCGACACUACCGCCACUACCACCUUUACCAGCACCACCAAUUUUAGAAGAAAUAGCGAAGGAUGGCUUCAGUAGAUUUAGUCAUGGGUUGGAUGAUUUUGGUGUAAAUGAAAUGAACUUGUCACGACCCAAAAUCCCACCUCAAGCCAUAAUGGCUAGCCGUACUUGCUAAGCAAGCCAAUUCACAAUCAAUAGAAAAUAGUCCAGAUUCGUUUAAAUAACAAAAUCAUAUCUUAAAUAAAGACAGGAAUGAUCUCGAAGUAGUAUGAUAUAUGAUACAAUCAUAACUUGCUCCAAACACGACCAAAACAGUACAAUCCCCAAAAAUUAGGUGACACAAGUAUACGAGCAACUACUGAAUAAGUACAAGUCUGAAUACAUAAUCAAAACUGUCUGAGAAAAAGAAAAUAGAUAGAAGAUAACUAAGUACAUGGACUCAGGCAUUGCGAGAUGAAUCCAUGAGGUGCACCUUGCCCUAAGUCUCUGAGCGAACGUCUAGACUCAACAAGAGGCUCCACUAGUAUCACCUGAGGAUUUGCAUAAAAAGAUGUGCAGAAGUAUAGUAAGAGUACAACACAGUCGGUACCCGAUACGUAUCCGGACUAAUGUCGAAGAAGUAGUGGCGAGGCUGUAGGCAUCAGGAUACUUACAACACAGUAUACAUAACAUAGCCUGAAACUGAAGCAGUAAAUAUCCUCAUGAACAACAUGCGUUAAGAUAAUAAACAGUCGAAAGAUAUAAAGCAUGCUUUUCCCAUGCAAAAGAUAAUCAUAACGCUGCUCGGAUAUGGUAUUUAAAAACGACAUGGUUCAAUCAAUGGAGUCAAGGCUCCCAACUAGCAUAUAUAUGUGAUAUGCUACAAUUGGCAUUUAAAUGAAUGCUUCUAAAUGAAUCAAGGAUGUCUAUGCAUGCUCAAGACUCUAUCUUUUGCCAUAACCGGUACAAGAUUCAUGUACCCCGAUACAGAAUCCAUGUAUCACUAUAACCUGAUACAAAAUCUAUGUAUCACUGGAACCCGAUAAAAAACUUAUUUAUCGACCUGAUACACAAUCCAUGUAUCGACCAUGCUUACAGGACUCAAAGUAACAUGGGUAAUCACGUGACUCCAAAGUGAUGGUACUAAAUCCAAGAGCAAAAGGAGCUUGAUAGCUCACUUACAAUCAAAUAUCUGCUCAUCAUGUCAUGUGCCAUAACUGUAUUUCAACUGCAUGACCUUGCCUUUCAUGCCAUAAUCUCAGUUCAAAUCAAGUAUCCAAAUAUAAUAAGUAUGCAUAUGCCCAAGAUUUAAUAGAUAAAAGAUGCACAAUGACUUAAUGAUAAUCAUGCGGAUAUGUACUCAUGGAAAUUCUAUAUGACUAUAGAUGAUUCAAGCAAUUAACAUAUCAAGAAUAAGCUCCCAUGCCUUCAUAAAUAAUCAAAAACCUAGGCAUGUUCUCUAGCAUGAAUAAGAGAGUGAAUGUAGUCAUAUAAGCUAAAUAAAUCAAGAUGAGCACAUAAUUAAAACAAGGCAUAAAGUAUUUCAAUUCUACUCUGGACAUGAUAUAAACUUAGUACGUGCAUAUAUGCUUGCCACCUCGCAUAUACACUACCCCUAAUACCUUAAACACAUAGCAAUCAAGUCAAAUCUUAGGGGUUUCCCUCCUAACAAGGUUAGCCAAGAGAAUUACUUCUUUAUGGGCUAGCCUCAACCUUAAAAUUGCAACAAAACCCCGUUCUAAUCCUCCAAUCAUGCAAAUCCAAGCCCAUCAUCAUCCAAGGAAGUCAAACAAUGCUAUAAGAAGUGAUCCUAAACCAUAAAGCUUUGAUCUUUGAAGCAUUUUCAAAAAAAUCAACAAAAGUCAAUCUGAGCCUGCAUGCCCGAAAUUAGAAAUCAAUAUCAAAAUCCGGUGUCCCAUAACUUGUCGUGUCCAAAUAUAUAAUUAGUUGUCAAAUCCGGAUCCAAAUCGAUAGUUAAAAUCCAAAAAUACACUCUCUUAAAGUGUAAACAAAAAUCCUACAUUUUCUUUCAAAAUUAUAUGUUUUAGGUGUAGAAAUCCACGUAGAUUCUUGAAAUAUAAUCACAAAUAGGUAGAAAGCACUUACCCUCUUGCCUUGUACUAAAAUCCCCAUGAAAAAUAGCUCUCUCCAAGUCUAGGUCUCAAAAUAUGAGAUAAUGAGCUAAAAUUUCAAAAUUCUAACUAUUAACCCACUGCAGAUGUCGCAUUUGCGAUCGAAAGUUCACAAUUAUGGAUGUUUGCAAUUACGGCCACAGGUUCGCAAUUGUGACCACAUGUUUGCAAUUGUAAUCAGAAGUUCACAAAUGCAAAGUUUGCAAUUGCAACAAACAGUCCGCCAUUGCGAAGUAACAACACCAGCAAUCCCAAACUCACAGAAAUGGUCCGAAACUACCCCGAAACUCAUCUGGAAGAUCCCGAACACAAACCAUAUAUGCAUUUCAAUCAUAAAACACACAACGAACCUGCUCGUGCACUCAAAACACCAAAAAAGGUCGUCUUGACCCGAUGUUGACCGUGGUCAAACUCCAAAUCCUUCACUGAACUAGUCUCUCAACCAAUAACCCAAAAUACACCCGAGCCCCUCGGGACCCCGUCAAAUCAUACCAAUAAGUACACACAGCUUAUUAUAACUUGUCCAAAGUCUCAAAACAUGAAUAACAACAUCAAAUCCAAGAAUCGAAGAUUGAAUCAAUCUCUUAACUUUCAAAUAUUCAAACUUCGCUGAAUGCGUUCGAAUCACAUUUAGACAUUCCAGAUGACAACCAAACUUUGAAAAUAAGCUCCAAUAAACCGAAUGAACCUAUCCAAAUUCUCAGAACACCGGCUAGACCCUGAUAACAUCAAAGUCAACUCUCGAUCAAACUUAUGAACUCUCCAAAUCUUCAAAUUACCAACUUUUGGCAAAUAGAGCCAAAACCUUCUAGAAACCUCCAAAUCCACAUUCGAACAUAUGCUCAAGUCCAAAAUCACCAUGGGAAUCUAUUGAAAUCCUCAUGUCUUGAUUUCGAGGCCGUUUACUCAAAAGUCAAACCUUAGUAAACUUUUCCAACUUAAAGCUUUCAAAUUGUGAAUCAGUCUUCCAAAUCAAUCCCGAACAUCUCAAACAUCGAAACCAACCAUAUACAGCAAGUCAUAAUACGUCAUAUGAAGAUACUCAAGGUCUCAAACCAUCGAAUAGAAAUGCUAAAGCUCAAAACGACCAGUCGAGUCAUUACAUUCUCCCACACUUAAAUAUAUGUUUGUCCUCGAACGUGCCAAGAAUCGUUCCAAAGCUGCCAAAACACUGUAUAACUCAUCAUACCCAUACCCAUGGGUGACCUCUCAUCACCUCAAUCCACAUAAUCCCAUUAACACAAUCCUGGCCGAUGAUUCUUCUUUCAACCUUCGAUUAUAAUCCUUAGAACCAAAUUCUAACUUUCGAAACUCCGUCUAAGAUCUGAUUAUUGUACAUAUACACUGCAUCAAAAUCCCCACAAAUUGCGCCAAGCCAUAAAUAUACCCCGAAGAUAUAAUCACACGAUGUACCACAUAACUUAUAUACUCAUUGCAAUACCUUCCACCCACAUUAGCUGCUCAUUAUCAAAUCUGGUACCGGUAACAUACCUUUUAUCAAAUAAACCUUGUUCUAAACCUUUGAAACACUACUAAUAAUGAAUGAAACGUGUAGAAACUCAUAGCCACUCAUUAAAUCAACAAAUCAUGGAGUUAUCUUGCCCGAAUUCCAACUUUCGAAACUCCCUUAUCCAAAUUUGAUUGGACUAAUUCUAGGUCCAAUAACCCUGUCUCAACCAGUACAAACCUCCCGACUGACAAGCCACACCAAAUGCUACCUAGAACUGCAUACGGCAUAAUUCGUGCACCAAAUAAGCAACAACUCAAAUGUAGCCAAUAAUGGAAAUGGAAACAAAUGAGAGAAAUGUCCAACAAGCCCCAUAGAUACAAUCACAAAAGCACAAUGAUAAGAUUACAUCCCACAAGAUAGAAACAAAACAUGCUAAGUACGCACCAAAAAUCGUAUCCAAACAUAGCACCGUUGCUGCGUGCAACCCGAUCCAAUCAUCAUACCGCUAUACACGGGAAUACUUAUUGAGCUAAAAUCCUCAUGCUUACCAAACACAUGUGUAUCAACAACAUGCACAUACCAUGCAUCGAUAUAACCACGGGAAGACGGAUAGCAUGGAGCGCUACAAAAUGUAAGUACAACUACAAUGCAAUAAACAAAUCAACCUCUCAAGAGCCAUCUCACUACCUAAACAUGACCACAACAUGCGUGUAAAUAAUCAAGUCGUCUCAUAACCCAUCAUAGCAUAAUAGAGUAAUACAUGAAAUAAAGUAUGGCAGGAAUAACAUCAAUUCGGCCCGAUGACACACCCAUAAAAAAGCCGCGUUGAGUAAGCAAAUCUGAUCCAGUAUAGAAUACUCAUUUGCAUUAGCCCUACCAAUAGACCCCUAAACCGAUCUAGAUCAUCCUAAGAUAAGUAAAUAACCUCAUCAAUAACACAUACAAUCAGCUGUGUAGCCCUUAAUACACUUUCUGAGUCCGCAACCAACAGAUUAAUCCACCUCCACAAAGAUCAAAUAUUUAGACCUCGAGAAUACAAAAACCUUAGCGGAUCUCUAUCUCUCCCAUGUACAUGUCUGAUACAUUACACAUACAUAAUCGCCUCAUGAGGAAUACUCCCAUAAACCUUCCGCACCAAGUAGCAAAAAUCUGAACAUCCAUGUUUACCACCACACGAUCUCUGUAGUACUAAUCAAGCCUCCGCAAAUUAAUAUACAAUGCAUUUUCUAAACACACACACACUCCCCUCAGGCGAUAUUAGAUGUGCUAGCAUUCUGUUAAACAUCUGAAAUCCACCAUGCUAUCUAGAACUCACGACAUUUCCUUCAAAGCUGAACCGCAAUCCUGUCCAUUUCAUCACAAUCUCACAUGACUUACCCUAUUUAUCUUGCCAUAAUACAAAAAUAUGAGAAUCCUGUUAUCAACUAUGAAUCAAGGGUAGGAAACGCACUUCAUCGACCUGAAAACUUUCACUUAACUCAAUCCAGGAGAAAAAAUCACAACACACAACAACCUCCCCAUACCCGUAUAUAUCAACCUCAAGUCGUGGUCAAAUCAUCACAACUCUUCGAAAUUCGUUUGCACAUAACCCAGCUAUCAGAAAUGAAUCCCUUUGCAUCAACCAAGUGAUGCAGACUGCCAAAACCUAUAUGUGUUACCACAAAACACCUGUACAACCCUAUUAAACAAAAGAACCGAUCAUCUAUAUUACCAUACUGAUCUAAGCCACUGCUAAACAGACCCAACUUCUUCAUAUUACUCAUGAGUUGCCUUCACGACAACACUUCUCUUUCCUAGUUACUUUGGACCUCAAUCAAAACUCAUCCCCAAGUGAUCCUAACAUGAAACCUCAUCGUCCUAAGCCUCGUAAGCCACUUUAUUCCCUCUUAUACACCAAAUAGUACCUCAAACUAAAAUACCUGCUCUAAAGAGAUCUUCUAUGAAUCUGAAGUUGUUUCUUCCAUCUCUCAAACACGGCCUCACCGAACCGAUGAUAUUAUUGAAAUACCCCAAGUCUCUUCCACAAUCUGACGUCAAUCUCAACUCCUCAGCAACACGAUGAAUCCUAAAAUCCUUAGGUACCACAUCUUAAAUCUUGAACCCACUAGAACCAUCCUCGAGAGUCACCCAUUCAGUCCUAAUCCCGAAUAAAUAGCCAAACAUGCCGAACAAUUAGUGCUCUGUUAGCACAUGAAUACUCCAAAAGAAACAACCGAGUGAAUCUUUUCCCUUUACACAUUACAUUCCCAAAGGACUAUCUAACCUGAGCCAUUCCACAGCCUCCACAUAACAACCAGGUGAAAUAUAACUCGCCUCUAGCAAAUUCCUUGCCCGAAUCAAUCUCAUAGUCAUCCUCUUAUAGCCAUAACUAAUCCACUAGCGCACCAAAUUCCAGAACUACAAUAACCCAUGCCAAUGUGAUCCAAUCGUCGAUGGUAGGCUCCCCCACACUGCUUUAAGCCACAAUCACAUAACCCAACUCACAAUGACUGCUACUUCAUAGUUACCAUGACCUCACAUGGUUACUCAGCUGAAUUUCUCAUAAGCUCAAGCUGCACUAACUAUAAGACAUCCUAAAUUAUCAAUCCAAAUGCAUACUCAACCUCGUGACAGUCGUGCCAUCUACCUCAAGCGAUCCAGACUCACAUCAUAGCAUAUACAUUCGAUUGGAUAGGAGGUAAAAUUCUUCCUAGCAACUUUAUAAGAUAUCAUACAAUCUCUAACCUUCUCACAUGAGAUAACCCACCUGUGUAGCCUCAAAUGUUUCUAUGACCUUGCCAUGAGCAUCACUACUAUGUAAUCAACUGAUUCUUCUGAGUCUACACUCGUACACAGGCCACAUGAAUCUUUUUCAUUUCAUCAAUGAACAGCCGAAAGAUCCAUCGACACAUCCAAAACUCAAGAAUGUAUAGAAUACCAAGAUGAUAAUCAAGCAUUCACAUUCUUUUUAUAGCUCAAGCAAACCCUUCUUAUCAAAUUCAAACUCUCCAAAUGCAAUAUGUCAUCACCAAAAUAAAAUGCACAAACUUAGUCAUUUGUCCACAAUGACCCAAGUCAUACCAACCUUUCUCAAAGUAUAUGGUUACCCUACCACAAAGUCCAUAACGAUAAGCCCACUUCCACAUAGGUAUAGCCACUUCCGAAGUAAGCCACUCGGUCUCUAAUGCUCAUUCUCGACCCACUGACAAUCAAACACUGCCAAACAUGCCUAAUAAUGUCCUCUUCAUCCUCUGCCACCCAUGAAGCUGAACUCGAAUCAUGAUACGUCUUUGUAUCAUCUGUAUGAACAAAGUACCACAAAUUACGAACCUCCUCAAGGAUCAUCUCCGUCAAACUAUCAACACUAGAAACACAAAUCCGAUCCUGAUGUCGCAACACACCGACAUACUAAGGACCACCUCCUUAGCAUCGCCGUGCAUACUAUGUCCCUAAGGAAAAGCAAAUGUAGAUCAUCACACAGACGAGCUCUAAUGCGUGCAAACAAAGACAAUCACGCAACCACACAAGUAAGAACUCCGCUAUGCUCAAAGAUGCCCAAUCUCACAAUUCUAUAAACCAAGGCCUAAACUUUCAUAGCCCAAAUGCCUCUCCCGCUCUGAACAAAUUCCAAACUCCAAAUCAUGAAUCAGAUAUUUCUCCUUAUGGGACUUCAACUAUCGUGACUUGUAAGUAAUCACCCUACUACUCUGUACUAACACCGCACUAAAACUGACACAUGAAGCAUUAUAAUAUGUUGUGUAAGGCCCCAAACCCAUAAGAAACACCAACACUGGGGAGGCUAUAGAUGGAAACCCCUCCACAAAGCGAAGGAUUCAACCCUCAACACAGGGAAGAACAUUCCACACCAAAGGUGCGACAUCACAACAAACCGCCGAUCUCAACUGAUAUCGAGUGUUCAACAUCGUGUACGAACAAGCAGGAGGGAAUAUAUGAUAUAGGCUUAAAGAUGAGAUAAAGUCGCACAAUAAGGAAUCAAGAAAGGGAAAUUUCCUAACAUCCUGUAGCCUCUUAGAGAUAAGUACAUAUGUCUCUUUACCGAUACACAAGACUCUACUAGACCUGCUCAUGAUUUGUAAGAUCCUAAGAACCUAGAUCUUUGAUACCAACUUGUCACGAACCAAAAUUCUAUCUUAGACCGUGAUGGCACCCAACCGCACUUGCUAAGAAAGCCAACUCACAAUCAACAAAACAUAGUCCGGAUUCCUUUACUUAAUAGAUUUAUAUCGUAAAUAAAGACAAGAAUAAUCUCGAAAAAGUAUAAUAUAUGAUACAAUCAUAAUAUGGUCCGAACAUGACCAAAAUAGUACAAUCCCCAGAACUAAGUGACACAAGUACACGAGCAACUACUGAAUAAGUACAAGUCUGAGUAUAUAAUCAAAACUAUCUGAGAGAAAGAAACUAGACAUGAGAUAAAUAAGAACAGGGACUCAGGAACUGCGAGGUUUUAAAGCAAAUUCUUGGAGGAACUCGGAAUUUAUUUAUCUGUUGUGAGUUGCUCGUUUCAGACUGUAUGUUGGUGUUAAAUUGCUGGAUUUGGUUGGUUGUGUUGCUAAAAUGAUAAGAAAGAUAAGUAUGGCGAUGAUGUGGUGUUGAUGUUAAUUGUUAAGGAACUUGAGAGUUCUAUGUACUCAAGGUGUUUGACAAAUUGUCUAAGAGAAGGCUACAUAUAGUUAUUGAUUCUAUUUUGAUUCCAAUCAUUCAUAGGAUGUAGAUAAUCGCUCGUAGGACGUGAAAGGAUCUGUGGAAUGUAAUUAGCUUCAUAAACAAGGUAUAUAAGGCUACUUUAUUUCUUGGCAUGACUUGAGGUAAAUAUUCCCUUUGAAAUAAUCUUCAUAUCACAAAAUUGAAUAGUCCUAAGUCUUCCCUGACAAAAGAUUGUUCAUGUUCAUGUGUAUUUCCUUCUGAUAGCAUUCUUCCGGAUUCAUGAUAUCGCUUGUGGUCAGUCUUUCAUUCCACUUACAUAUGUAUCUAUUUUACUCUACCGAGUCACACUAUAGUUGGCUGGGUACAACACCAUUGUGCAACCACUGAUUAGUUGGGUAUUACCGAGUUUUUUGUGGCCGGGUACGAUCGAGUCCUCUUCGAUGCCGGGUACGUUAUGAUAUGAUAUGAGAUAUUACCGAGUCCUAUUAAGUCCGGGUACGGCCGAGUCCUCUUCGAGGCCGGCUACGUUAUGAUAUGACAUGAUUUUCCCCCAGAGUGGCUUGCUACUAUAUUNNNNNNNNNNNNNNNNNNNNNNNNNCUGCCUCUUUUCGAGUUCAGGUUGAUUUUUGUACCCUAUCUCUUGUACUAUAUCUUUUGUUUACACAUGUUACCUACCUUACAUAUUAAGUACAUCUUUCGUACUGAUUCCCCUUUCUGGGAAAUUGUGUUCAUCAUCAUAGGUACAGAUAGACAGGGCGACAUACCUCCUCAGUAGGGUGUCCGUCUCAGUUGUUAGUUGUCGUACUCCACUUCUCUGGAGUUGCUAUACAGGAGUCGAUAGGUAUGGCGAGGCCCUGUCUCGAUCUAUUUAUGUAUUAUAGCACUCUUAGAGGCUUGCAGACUAGCGCUCAGUGUGUAUACGUUUUGUUUUGGCCUUGCCGCCCUCUUGUUAGUUGACGAUACUCCCCUUGCGGCUUUGUCGGCCUUGGUUAUCUAAAUAUAUUGUGUCGGGACUCCUUUGCUUGCAGGUACAGUACAUUCUUGUCCUAUUAAUGUUAUUUGUAGGCCUUGUCGUCCCAGGUUCUAUGCCAGAGGUUCUAGGUACUAUAGUUGGUCCGCUCGGGUCCGGGUGCUGGCUGCUGGCCACCCCCCCAAGGUUGGGGUGAGACAUAUGCGUUAUGCAACAGUUCAGGAAAACAGUACAAAUUAAAUGUAUGCCUUGUCUUGUCCACCUGAAACGGCAUGUACGCACUUAUACCGUAAUUAUUCCUUUACUAUUUCAACUUGGCGCAUGUACAAUAAGCAUUAUGCAACAAUCCAUAAAAACAAUACAAAUUAAAUGCACGCCUUGUCUUGCCUGAAAAGGCCUAUACGCACUUGUACCGUAAUGAUUCCUUUACUAGUUCAACAUGGCGCAUGUACAAAAUGCGUUAUGCAACCUAAACCCACCCAUUCUAACCUUUAAACCCCCCGCGCAUGUUACUUCUUCUUUGCGAAUCCUCACAGAUUAAACAACCAAUUAAUCUUAUUUUCCAUAAAAUUUCUAGUUCCAACAAUACGAUAUGUCUAGCCGCGAUGAGGUCCCUACUUGUUACUGCCGGAAACGUGCAAUUUUGAAGCCAUGCUGGGCCACUUCCAAUCUAGGGCGCAUACGUUGGAUGUGUAAAUACACUAUGAGUUAUUAAUAUUCUAAUUUAUGUUGGUUAUUCGUAUAUUUAUUUUAUAAAAUGAUACUGAUAGUCGUUUGUUAUCAUCACCUUUCUUAGGAGUAAAAUCAAUGUAGUUUUGAAGAAUGAUACGUAUUUUAAUGUAUGUUAAUCUGUGUUUUUAUUUGUGGUUCUAAUAUUUAGUUAAUAAAUAAUACCAAAACUUAAAACACUAAGGUAAUAACAUUAAACAUAAAAUAAUAUUUACACCAAAAUACUAUUUAAUGGAAUAUAUACAACGCAAGCUGAAUAUCAAUAUGUCCCACAACCUGUAUGUUUUAGUGCAUAGGCUGGCAUGAGGCGCAUACCCUAUUGACCAGCUACGCUAUCCGGAUCAUCCUCAUCCCGUCAUCUCUUUAUCUGAGGAUGCACUACAACACGAUUGUCUGGAAGGCUAGCUGGAUCAGUAAAGGAGUCCAUUGGUCCGACAGUAAGCUACAAAAUAUAAAGCAAUUUUUAGUAUAUGAUAUAUAUAUAUAUAGAACAGUAAUAUAACAAAUCAAUUAUUUUUAUACUCAAAACCUGCAUCUCAGCUGGCUCCUGAAUAGGGUCCUGCGCCUCCGGCAGACGAGUAUCACAGUCUACUGUCUCCGUGAUCGGUGAUGGCAAAAUCUAAGAACAUAUACAAACAUAUUAUAUAUUAAUGACUAAUAUUUAAAGUAAAAUAUGGGUGAUAAUAAUGUUAAUACAGCCAAACCUGCGUUUCAGUGGGCAACCGCGCGAGCUAGGGGAACUUCAAGGUGGACUGGACUAGAUGAAGGCUGUGCAGCCUCUACUAGAGGUCUUGUCUCUUUCAUAACAUGAUGAAAAAAUAUUAUCUUUCUGCUAAAUAAUAAUACUAUAACAGUGACAUUUUAAAGAUUGAUAAGAAAAGAUACUAACAUGAUCAGAGCCAUAGCUCAAAUGUCUGCCGCUGUGCACAUCUCAUACCAGACAGUCCUUUGCAUCCCUCGAUGUGCCUAGAAGAUCAGGAAAGAAUGCAUCUCAAUCAUAUGAUGUGAUGUCGGUGCCCGCAAUCGAUAAAAUAACCGACUGGCUAAGUUGUGAAGUCCCCGGUGACAACAGUCUGAAUGUAGGCAUAUCAUCACCAGUAUCGUGUGCCUCACUAGGGUCACCCGGCAAACCAUAGCCAAUAUCCUCCAUGGGUGCCUCAAAGCCCACUUGCUGUCCACCCUGUCUGCACCGACCACCCCGACCACGCGGGUCAAUCCUUCCUCUCUGGCCCUGCCUGGCACGUCUACCACGUGCUGGGGGUAUGCCUGGCCUAUGAUUGUAAUCCUUAGGCGGAACAUACGCUGUAUCAAAACCUAACUGUGCAUCCGCUCGUGUAGCUACCAAUGCGGUAGUAGCAACCGAAGAAACCUGACAACCCUAAUGGCGAAAUAGUAGCGCUCCGUCACCUAACUGCUACUGCAUCUCCAGACCCAUUUGGUGAAUACAGUGUAAGCCAAUAGCCUGCAUAGAAUGUAAAAUAUUAGUUAAAGAAAAUAAGUAUAUAUAACAUUAUACGUAAGUAUAUCAAAUAACGUACUAGUGCCUUGUGCCUACCGGCAUGUGGAACAUAGUGAUGACUCUCUCGAUGAUCGGGAUUACCUAUCAGAGUGCGAGUAACAUGGCGAUACCAAGUCGUGUACUCAUGCUCACCAUCAACACUAUCAUGUGGAGGGUCUGGCGGAAACAUGAAAUGUCUUUGAUCCCACUCCUCUAUCUGCCAAAUGCAUGGUCAACUCUACUGCUAUCAUCCCGCUCGUAAUGCGUUGCAUGCCAACAGGGAUGAGUAGGUAUAUGUUGUGGCCGUCCAAACUAUCGUAGGACUUUCCCCCUCGGGUGAUGUUUAAAUAUAUUAAGACAUAUCAAUGGGACCUCAGAAAUCCACUCAGCUCAACCUUGUGAGCAAUAGUCUGGCAAACUAGCAAUGAGCUCGUCGCUAUAUGGCCUCCAUACGAACUAUUUAUUAAACGCAAAAAACAGUAAGCAAAUGCAAGACAAAUCAUGUAUUAACAAACAUACUAAGUCGAAUAUUUAAUUGAUCACCAUCUAGUAAAUCCAGCAUAUUCCUGUAGAGCGGGAGAGUAUGUCGAGCCUCAAUGUUGUGGACGCGACUUCUCCUAUCUACCCACCUCCUAGCACAGGGUAUAAGCAACAUAGGUAGUGCAUUUGGAGCUAGUGGUCGAGGAGGGGGCUCAGGGGCGGAGCUAGUCCAUCGAGUACGGGUUCGGUCGAACCCAGUCACUUUGGUCCAUUCCAUGUAUUUGUCUUAAAAAUUUCAUUGAAUAUGUACAAAUUAUUAAUUUAGAACCGAGUAACUUGGAUUAGAACCCCGAAUCCAUAAGCUUCAAAUCUUGGUUCCGCCUCUGAAGGGGCUGCAUCUACAAGAAUCUCUUCCAAGCCCAAACCUAAUAUUGAUUGUGGACGUAAAACUGAGUAUUUUACUACAUAAUAUGAUAUUCAUGAAAAUAACUGAUAAUAUUAUCACCUAUAAAAGCGGAAUAAAUCCAGCAAUGUCCCUCACGCUACCCAUCGACGCCCUGCAUAGCUACCUAUACAGGUAUACUAGAACGGCACUGCCCCAACUCUACAUUGGUAAAUCAUCUAACCGCUCCAGAUGAGCCAAGAAAUGUAGGCUCACAAUGUUCCCCGAGGUGUUCGGAAAAAGAAUGCCGCCAAAUAUCAUCAACAACAACAACCUAGACUGCCGCUCAAUACCCUCCACUGGUGUCUCAUCCGUGAUUUGCUCGUGUAGCACCUCCAGGUGCUGCCUAACAGGUAAUAACUGUAAUCGGCUAACUCCACUUAUCGCAAUCUCCAGAAUCGACAAAAAUCUAGUGAGCCUCUCCAACAUCUCCAAAUAGUCAUGCGUCCUAUAUUCCUUAACCGCAGGCAGGUAGUGGACAGCAAGACCAUCAGCCAACAAUCAAAAUAAAACCCCCACGUCCUGUAGCGUGAGGUGUCCUCACCGGUAGGCAAAUGUAAUAUGUGCGUCUCUGGCCUCCAGUGCUCGAUCAGAGCCGUGGUCAAUGUCCAAUCAAACUGCAAACGGUCAUCCUCGAUGACUAGGUAAAGAACAGUCCGAGUGAGGCACGCGACAGUCAGUUGAUGUAGUGGGUGAUCCCUAAUAAACUCCGAAAAAUCAUCAAUGCAUCGCGGGUGGAAGUUCUGGCUAAGCAACUCUCCAUCCUAUAUAUAUGAUGACCUAUGGCCUGCCUGGAGCGUAAGUAGCUCACGUGACACGGGUCCAGGAUGAGUAGUCGGGGGCUCCAUAAUGAUGUCUGUACAUUGAAUAAUGUUAAUUAAACUUAUGUUCUCUUUACUCGUUUAACCUCUCGAGAUAUAUGAAAACAUUUUUUUGAUUAAUUUAAUACGAAGUAUUAUUAAUUAUUUAUUUGAAAUAGUUUUAUUAAUUUUUUGAUAUGAAAUAUUUAUUUAUCCUUUUUUAUUUAAUUCAUAACGGUUUAUACGUUAGUUUUUUAGAUUUUACGAUAAAAAAUUGGGAGAGUCUCAUUUGUACUGACAACUUUUUACGUUUUUAUUCGUUAGUCAAAGAACACUAAAUAUUAAAUUUUCUUGACUUAACGAGAUAUUUUGAAAUAUAUUUAUUAAUUAUUUUGAUAUGAAGUAUUCUUUAUCGUUUAGUUAAUUCAUAACAAUUUAUAUAUUAAUGUUUUAGAUUUACGACAAAAAUUCGGCACAACCUCAUUUGUACUGACAUUUAACUUAUCGGGACAUCUUGAAAUAUAUAUUUUUUAUUAUUUUGAUGUGAAGUAUUAUUUAUCUUUUAUUCAAUUCAUAACAAUUUAUACAUUAAUAUUUUUGAUUUAACAGCACAAAUUUGGCAGAAUCUCAUUUGUACUAAUAAUUAUUUAUAUUUUUAAUGUCAGUCAAAGAACCCUAAAAUAUUUUAUUUGUUUAACUUAUCGUGUUCUAAUUGAUUAUUAUGUUAUCAUACUUUUAGUAUAAGAUUAGUAAUCGAUUAGUAUAUGAUUACUAAUCGAUUAGUAUAUGAUUCGUAAUUGAUUACAACAGAGGACUACUGUCACGACCGGGAAUUUUCCACCCUCGGGACCGUGAUGACGCCUAACAUUUCACUUGCCAGGCAAGCCAACGUUAGCUAUAUUUAUUAACCAUUUUUACUAAGUUGACAAACUAAUAAACGAUAAAAUUCAAAUAAAAUCCCAGAUCUGGUGUCACGAAUACAUGAGUGUCUAGAGUACUACAAAUAAUGGUAUGAAUAAAAUAUAACUGUCUGAAUCAAAAUAAACAACUAAAAUAAUGUAGACGUGGAUUCAGGGUUGGCGACGUCGUGCAGCUAUACCUCAAGUCUCCACAGAUAGCUACAUCCAAGCAAACCUCACUCAGUGCAGCUGGGACAAACUUCAGUAUUUGCACAAGAAGUGCAGAGUGUAGUAUGAGUACAAUCGACCCCAUGUACUCUGUAAGUACCGAGCCUAACUUCGAUGAAGUAGUGACGAGACUAAGGCGGGUCACUUACAAUAACCGAUGCGCAAUAAUAAUAAUAACAGAAAAGACAUAAAUGGAAAUAAAGCAGUUAACUCAUAACGACGAACUCAAAGUUCAACUACGAGAGAGCCUAGAAUAACAAGUCUUACAAACUCAUCUCAACAAGACUUAAUUAUGUACUAUAAGUUGUGUUGCUUAAUUUGAAAGAAAAUACAAGUCGAAACGUGUUUUAGCAAACUGAAAAAUCACUUUUGAGUUGCUGAAUUUGUGGGACUGUUUCUUGGUGCUGUUGGGUUGUCUCUAUUGCUACUAUUUUUAUGGAGUUUGGGAGGAGAAAAGGUGUGGGGAAACACCAUCUAAUGGCAGGGUGAUUGGCUGGUUGUUCGUCGUUACGUUUUCGAGUUGUUUGAGACUACUAGGGUUGACGUUUUGUGUAUAUUGAUUGGGGUGUGUGGGCUGUUUUAUGAUAUUUUGUGAUGGAUAUAAGGUUGGAAAAUGAUGUAUACAUGUUGUUAUUAUUGUGUUCUUGUUGUGAACUUAAGGACAAGCAAAUGGGAGUCGUCAUACUGAUGCUCUCUGAUGUGCUCAUACAAAGAAGAUCGAGAAACCGUGCAAGCAAGAAUCCGACAAGGCUCCGAAACAUCUAACCUCACGAACUGGUUGGACAAAGCCUGAACAUCUGAUGUUAGCGGCCUCUCACCAACUAGAAUAUAUGCAAGGCUACCCAUACUCACAACCUUUCUACUUAAGGCAUCGACCACCACAUUGGCCUUCCCGGGAUGAUACAAAAUGGUGAUAUCAUAGUCUUUUAACAACUCCAACCACCUCCGCUCCCUCAAAUUGAGAUCCUUUUUCUUGAACAAAUACUGAAGACUCCAACGAUCUGUGAACACCUCACAUGAUACACCGUAGAGGUAAUGCCUCCAAAUCUUCAAUGCAUGAAAAAUGGCUGCCAACUCUAAGUCAUGAACAUGGUAACUAUUCUCGUGAACCUUCAACUACCGUGACACGUAUGCAAUCACCCUGCCAUCCUGCAUCAAUACUGCACUGAGCCUAAUACACGAUGCAUCACAAUACACCGUAUAGGAUCCCGAACCCGUGGGUAAUACCAACAUCGGAGCUGUAGUCAAGGUAGUCUUGAGCUUUUGAAAGCUCAGCUCACACUCAUCCGACCAGCUGAAUGGGGCACCCUUCUGGGUCAAUCUAGUCAAUGGGGUUGCGAUGGAUGAAAACCCCUCCACGAACCGGCAAUAAUACUGUACCAAACCCAGGAAGCUCCGAAUCUCUAUAGCUGAAGUAGGUCUUAGCCAGUUCUGAACUACCUCAAUCUUCUUAGGAUCCACUUUUAUGCCCUCUGCAGAUACGACAUGUCCCAAGAAAGCAACCGAGUCCAACCAAAACUCACACUUUGAAAACUUGGCAUAUAACUGACUAUCUCUCAAAGUUUGAAGUACAAUCUGAAGAUGCUUCUCAUGCUCCUCUCGACUACGGGAUUAGAUCAAGAUAUCAUCAAUGAAUACAAUCACAUAAAAAUCAAAGCAGGGCUUAAAUACCCGAUUCAUCAAAUCCAUAAAUGAUGUUGGGACAUUUGUCAAGCCAAAUAACAUCACCAGGAACUCAUAAUGCCCGUAUCGAGUCUGGAAAGCUGUCUUAGGGACAUCCGAUGCCCUAAUCUUCAACUGAUGGUAGCCAGAUCACAAAUCAAUCUUUGAAAAAACUUUGGCCCCCUGAAGCUGAUCAAACAAGUCAUCAAUCCUCAGCAACGAAUACUUGUUCUUGAUAGUGACUUUGUUCAACUGCCGAUAAUCUGUACAUAUCAUCAUUGAACCAUCCUUCUUCUUCAAGAACAACACGGGCGCACCCCAAGGCGAGGCACUAGGUCUAAUGAAUCCAUUAUCAAGCAAAUCCUGCAACUGCUCCUUCAGUUCCUUCAACUCAGGUGGCGCCAUACAGUAUGGUAGAAUAGAAAUGGGUUGAGUGCCCGGAGCCAAUUCAAUACAAAUAUCAAUAUCGCUAUCGGGUGGCAUCCCCAACAGAUCUGCAGGAAACACCUUUGGAAACUCACACACAACAGGUACUGAAUCUAUGGAAGGAACCUCCGUACUAGAAUCACGAACAUAGGCCAAAUAUGCUAGACAUCCCUUCUCGACCAUAUGCCGAGCUUUCACAUAAGAAAUAACCUUGCUAGUAGAAUGGCCAGGAUUCCCUCUCCACUCUAAUCGGGGCAACCCCGGCAUGGCUAAGGUCACCAUCUUGGCGUGACAGUCCAAUAUAGCAUGAUAAGGUGACAGCCAGUCCAUGACCAAGAUAACAUCAAAGUCCACCAUAUCAAGAAGUAGGAGGUCUACACUACUCUCAAGGCCCCCGAUAGAAACCACACACAAGCAAUAAACAUGAUCUACAACUAUAGAAUCUCCCACAUGUGUGGACACAUAUACAAGGGCACUCAAAGAAUCAUGAGACACAAUCAGAUAUAAAGCAAAAUAGGAUGAAACAUAGGAAUAAGUAGAGCCCGGAUAAAAUAGAACUGAAACAUCUCUAUGGCAAACCAGAACAAUACCUGUGAUGACGGCGUCAGAUGACUCUGCCUCAUGUCUAACUGGGAAUGAAUAAAAAUGAGGCUGGGGCCCACCACUCUGAUCUCCGCCCCUCAGGCGACCCCUAGCUGGUUGGCCUCCACCUCUAAUAGCCUGACCUCCACCUCUAACAACCUGACCCCCGCCUCAAGCUGGCUGUGCGGGCAGUGGAGAAAUCGGUGCCGACAUAAUGGCAUGAGAACUCUGUUGAGGUAUUCUGCUCGUCAAUGUAGGGCAAUACCUCCUGAUAUGACCUAUGCCCUCACACUCAAAGCACUCUUUCGGCUGCUGAGGCUGCUGAAGCUGUGACUGACCCUAACGGCCCGGAUAGCCGCUGUAGUAACUCUGAAGUGGUGGUGCACUGAUAAGAGCUGAAGGUGCACUGAAUGCUGGCUGCUUAGGACGAGAACCAUAAGAACCAUGACCGCCCAAAGCACUGUGGGCUACCUGAAGAUCUGACUAAAUCGGCCUAGGAGGAUGGCCUCUAUUAAAAGAACCUCUUCCCCUAGAUGAGGCACCACUGAAACCACCAAAAUGACGGGGCCUCUUCUUAGAUGUUGACCCUCUGUCCUGACCACGAACCAUAUCGAUUCUGCUAGCAAUCUCUACGACCCUCUGGAAAGAAAUUAUCAUCCCCCGUCACCUUGGACAUCUGAAGCCUGAUGCUGAAGGUAAGACCAUCAAUAAACCUCCUCACACUCUCUCUCUAUCUGUAGGAAUCAACAUAGCUGCAUGACGGGCCAGGUCCACAAAUAUGGUCUCAUACUGGUGAUGGUCAUGCCACCCUGCUGAUGGCGCUCAAACUGCCUACAAUACUACUCUCUCAAAGUGAAAGAAAUAAAUUUCUCCGAAAAUAUCUGUGAAAACUGAUCCCAGAUAAGUGAAGGUGAACAGACUGGUCUGCUCUGCUCAAAAUCCUACCACUACCUCUCGGGAGAGCCGGUCAUCAAGAAAACUACAAAGUCAACCCCUAUAGUCUCAACAAUACCCAUGUUGCACAAUACCUCGUGGCAACGGUCCAAGUAAUCCUGUGGGUCCUUAGAGUAUGCACCGCUAUAAUGAAUAGGAAAGAGCUUAGUGAUCUUGUCCAACCUCAUCAAUCCCUCAGAAGACAUCGCGGGCCUCUCCCCGGGCUGUGUAGCAACUACGGGCUGAACUACUCCGAUUGCUGGAGCUACCGAAGUCUAAUAUAGGGGAGCCAUCUGCUCCGGAGUAUGAGUGGUGGGAGUCUGUGCACCUCCCCCAUCCUGAGGGACGGCUAGUGCCAUAGGAAAUGCUCCAGUCUAAGCCACACACCCCAUGAGUCCAACUAAGUGGACUAGAGCGUCCUGAAGUAUGGGAGUGGCUAUGAAUCCCCUGGGACUUGAGCGAGUCCAACUGGUGCGGCCUGAACUGGGAUCUCUUCCUCAUGGUCAGGCUAAGGCUCCAACAUGGGUGCUGCUACUGCUCGAGCUCUAGGAUGAGCUCUGCCUCUACCCCAGCCCCGACCCUUACCCUUGGCAGUGGCUGUAACAGGGGGCUCUGGCUCCUACCCGACGGUAGGCAUUGUGCAAGUUCUCACCAUCAGCGAGAGAGCAAGAGUAGAAUGGUUCAAACUUCAAUAAUGGUAAUAAACCGCACGAUAGAGAAAGAAAGAAGUGAAAUUUUCCUAAAGCCUUAUAGCCUAUGAAAGAUAUGUACAAACGUCUCCGUACAGAUCCUCCGGACUCUACUAAGCUUGCUCAUGACUCGUGAGACCUAGGCAACUUAGUGCUCUAAUACCAACUUGUCACAACCCGAAAUUUCCCACCUUUGGGACCGUGAUGGCGCCUGACAUUUCACAGGCUAGGGAAGCCAACGUUAGCUAUAUCUAUUAACCAUUUUUAACAAUUCCAAAUUUAAUGACAAUAACAAAACUGAAUAGUCUGAUAUAAGGUGAUAAACUAAUAAACGAUAAAAUCCAAAUAAAAUCCCAGAUCUGGUAUCACGAAUACAUGAGCGUCUAGAGUACUACAGAUAAUGAUCUAAAUAAAACAUAACUGUCUGAAUCAAAAUAAACAGCUAAAAUGAUGUAGACGGGGACUUCAGGGUUGCAGACAUCGUAUAGCUAUACCUCAAGUCUCCACUGAUAGCUAGAUCCAAGCAAACCUCACUCAGCGCAGCCGGGACAAACUCUGGUAUUUGCACAAGAAGUGCAGAGUAUAAUAUGAGUACAACCGACCCCAUGUACUCUGUAAGUGCCGAGCCUAACUUCGACGAAGUAGUGAUGAGACUAAGGCAAGUCACUUACAAUAACCUAUACGCAACAAAAAAGACAUGAAUGGAAAUAAAGCAGUUAACUCAUAACAACAAACUCAAAAUUCAACUAUCAGAGAGCCCAAAAUAACAAGUCUUACAAACUCAUCUCAAAUAUCGAGGCAAAUCCAACAGUCGCAAACAAAUACAACUUGUACAAUCCGUUGCGGCGCGUAACCCGAUCCUACCAUAUCAUCAUCUGUCAUUAUCAUAAUCCGACCUUAUUCUGCCAUUUCAAUUAAUUACCUUUCACUUUCCGUUGCGGCGUGCAACCCGCUCCCCAAACAAUUUCAAUCAACAAUAUCAAUUCAACAACCAAAAUUUACAAGAAGUUCUAGAUCAAGAGAGUAAAUGUACAAGGCAAUGAAGAAUCACAUAAUACUCAAGGAAUCUCAAAUAACUCGAAUGUCUCAACUUUACCAACUCAUCGAUAACUGCCAAUUAACAACCUAUACAAGCGAAUCUAUGUUAUAGAAGGCAACAAAUUUUACAAAACUAUAAGACAAGCAAGACAUAGGGAAAUUUAGAUAUGCAAGAAAAGCAAAUAGAGACAAGUAGCAAAUAAGCAUGGAAUUAUGGAAGGGAUGGACAAUUUAAUACAAGGAUAACUAAAUGACAAGUAACAAUUAUGGCAUUGAAGUAAAAUAAGCAUAUAUCAAUUAAGGCAUGUAACAAGAUAUACUAAGAAGUAACGAAAACAUGGAAGCAAGUAACACUCGUCACCUCGCAUAUACGCCGUUUCACACGUAAUUCACAUAACAUGUAGUUCAAGGCUUCUUAAUUUCCUCGAAUCAAGGUUAGACCCAACACUUAUCUCACUUCGUAACCCAAGUGAUCAAUCAACCACAUCGUUGCCUUUUGAACAAGCCUCCAAACCAACCAAAUCUAGCAAAUUAUUGACCAAAUGAUUCAAAAUAAGCUUUAGAAACUACCCACAAAUGAAAGAGGUUCAAUUUAGAUCAUUUUUGAAAAAGUCAACAAAAGUCAACCCCGAGCUCGCUUGGUCAAAAUCGAGAUUCGGACCAAAACCCGAUUACCCAUUCACCCCCGAGUCCGGUUAUGUGAUUUGUUUCGAAAUACAACCUCAAUUCGAGGUUUAAAUCUCAAUUUUACAAAAAUUCCCAAUUCUACCCAAAUUCCUAAUUUUUACCAUGCAAAUCCUAGAUUUUAUGUUGAAACCUCAUGAAAUGUAAUGGGUAAUUGAAAAGAAAUGGAUUAAAGUCACUUACCAAUGAAUUUGCGAAGAAAAGUCUCUUGAAAAAUCGCCUCUAGGGUGUUUAGGGUUGAGAAAUUGUGAGAAACGAGCUAAGUCCCAUUUCCCCCCUCUUUUACCCAACUGUGGAUGUCAUAAUUGCGAUGUCUUGUUCGCAAUUGCGAACAUCGCAAACGCGAGACAAGGGUCGCAAAUGCGAACCCUAUCUCGAAGCCACAGAAGUCGCAAAUACGACAUUUGGCUCGCAAAUUCAAACUCCCAACCUUCGCAAAUGCAGACCAUUUCUUCCCAAAUGCGAAUACAGCUCAAGGACAUACUGAGUCGCAAAUGUGACUCUGAGAUUGCAAUUGCGAUCACUGAGAGUUCGCAAAUGUGAACAUACUCCUCGCAAAUGCGAAGCUACCCAAUACAGCCCAUGCUCGCAAAUGCGAACACUUGUUCGCAAAAGCGAGGCUCGCAAUUGCGAGCCAGACCUCGCAAAUGCGAGAUCUCCAGCAGAGCACCAACAACAGAAGUGCACUAGCUAUUCCAACCUUAACCAAACUCAUUUGAAACACGUCCGAAACUCACCCGAGCCCCUCGCGCUCCAAACCAAACAUUCACACAAGUGUAAUAUCAUCAUACGAAAUUGCUUGCGCAAUCAAAUCACCAAAAUAAUAUCUAAAUUUACGAAUCAAUCCCCAAAACGAAUGAACUUUCAAAGUGAAACUAAAGAACACUAGAAUCAUAUUUAGGCAUCCGAAUUAUGUCAAAUAAAUUCCGAAUUGAACCAAAUUUUGCAGAGAAAUUUUAAAUAGCAUUACGCAACUAUUCCAAGUUUCAACAUCAAAAUCCGAACCCGUUAGUUAAGAAGUCAACUUACGCUCAAACUUAGUAAUUUUCAACUUUCAAAAAUGCUAGAUUUCGGCAAAAUGUGUUUAAAAAAUUUAGGGACUUCUGAAUUCAAUUUCGGGCAUACGCCCAAGUCUCAAAUCACGAUAAGGACCCACCGGGAUCGUCAAAGUACCGAUCCGGGCCAUUUACACAAAAUGUUGACCGUAGUCAACUCAAACAAUUUUAAGACAAAAGUUCACUUUUUCUUCAACUUUUCACAUAAAGACUUUCCGGAAUAAGACACGGACUCCGCACGUAACUCGAGAAAUACUAAACGAAGCUAAUAGAGGUAUCAAAAUUUGAGAAUAGAGGGUAAAUCUCAAAAUGACCUAUCGGGUCAUCACAACUACGUUAAUGAUGGGAAAAUAAUUAUUGUUCUACAUUUAACAUAUAAUUUUUCAAAUUCAGUUAGACCAAUAAAUUCAAUAAUAUUAUUAAUAAACAAAAAAUUUCAAAAUUUCUCCAAUUAGACAAUAUUCAACGAAUUCAAUAAAAUACAAUAAAGUUUAUUGCAAUUUCAUAAAUAGAAAAAAAUGACAAAUACAAUUAAAUAUCCUAAAAAAUCACAUAUUAUCACAAAUUACACGAAAUUAUAACUAAUGCUAUAAUAUAUACAUGUACACAACAACAUAACUGAAAUCUAAGCAUGAAGUACAUCUACGUCCAUCGAUUCACAUAGAGAAGAUAUGCACAAACAUCGUAAAUAAACUAUCAGUUUAGCAUAUAGAGAAUAUACACAUUUGAAGAAUCAGCGGGUGAGUUGUGGUUAGGGGUGAAAUGCUACUCACACCCAGAGCUAGCUGGUUCUCCCAGAAAUGCAUUGAGGCCGCUGGCAGCACAGAACGAACUAAACCAUGACCAGCAAGUUUUUCGAAAGCAAUUGUGGCAUCGCCUUCAUCAUCCCUCGAACAGGUUGAUGAGCUUUUGGACAAUUCGAUAUGAGCGAACUCGAGAAACAUCAGACUGUCUGUAAUGGCUCGUCCCUAGUGCCUUUGAACUUGGCCAAAUAGAAAAAAGACAUCUUCCCUGCUCAUCAACUUCACGCCGCCGUUCGUUUUCUACCGAGAUCGGGGUCUUUUUGAAGACAAAUCCAUCAUUGAAGGGCUAGAGGCCGAAAAUGAAGAUAUGUGCCUAACAUCAUUAAAUCAUCAACAUUUGCAUAUAGAGAAGAUAUGCAUAAAUAAGCCAACCAAGUUACCAAGAUUAACAUAUAGAGAAGAUAUGUACUGUGAAUUAAUUCAUAAAUCAAAUCAGCAUAUAAAGAAGAUAUGCAUAAAAGGCAUGUAUACAUUCCUUAGCUAGUAUAUAGAGAAGAUAUACGGUAAAAAUCAUGUAUAUGUCCAAGGAGUUUGCAUAUAGAGAAGCUACACAAAGUCCAGUCAGUUAUCCAUUUUUCCAUAAUCUACGUGUACGUCAUCAAGAGAGAAACAUGAGAGGGCAACCCUAGGGGGAUAGAUCUUUAUCCACACGCUACAAGGAAAAUGCAUGUGCCAUAAUCAUAAUCACCACACGGACAACUCACAUGCCAUAAUCAGAACAACUUCACAAACAACUUACGUGCUAUAAUAACUCAACUCGCACGGACCGCUCAUGUGCUAUCAACUCAAUCCAUCACACAAAAGGGAUAUACAAGAAUACAUAUAUAUACAAACAACAGAUCAAAUCACAUACUCGUGGACUGAUAAAAAGCAUGCUAAGGUGUAUGCAUGUGCGAAGUGUUCAACUAUAGCUCAGGUUGGGCGAGUACUCCAUACAAUAACGAGUCCCAUGUUCAAACAAGGAAUCAAGACUUACACAUGAUCUCUUGCAUGAUUGGAGAAGUUCACGUAGUCAUACAAACAUAUAAUGCAUGAUAGCAGGAAGCACAGUAUCCAAAACAAGGCAUGAUACAACCUAAAGACUACUUCGGUCAUGAAUCAUACAUAACACCUGCAUAUAUGCUCGUCACCUUGCAUAUACGUUGCUUCUCACACAUUUCAAUUAGACACAUAAGGUCAUAUCCUAAGGUUUAUUCCCUCACAACAAGAUUAGACAAGAUACUUACCUCAUCCGAGAUAGCAUUCAACCUCAAAUCGUGUAAAACCUCGCUCUAGCCCUCCAAUCCAAGACAAUUAUUAAUCAAGAAAGUCAAACAAUGCUAUAUGAAGUGAUCCCAAUCCAUAGAGCUUUGAUCUUUGAAGAAUUUUCAAGAAGUCAACAAAAGCCAGCCCGAGCCCCGCAUGCCUGAAAUCUGGAAUCAAUACCAAAUUUCGAUGACUCAUAACCUGUCAAGUCCAAAUAUGUGAUUAUAUUCCAAAACCGAGUCCAAAUCAAUGGUUAAAACCCCAAAAUACACCCUCUUAAUUUAUACACAAAACUCCCAAAUAUUAUCUCAAAAUUCCAUAUUUUGGAUAUUAAUAUUUCAUGUAGAUUCUUGAAAUAAUAUCAUAAAUGAGUAGAAAUCACUUACCCUGAAGUCUUAUAUGAAAAUCUCCAAGCAAAAAUUGCCCCUCUCCAAGUCUAAGGCUUAAGACUUGAAAGAAUUUGUAAGAGUCCAAAAAUGACACCUUAUAUGGUCUACCCAGCCGCACCCUUCGUGAAUGCUACCACAGCUCAGCAUUCGCGAAGCACAAUCAAAAGCCACUACCAAAAUACCCUACACAAACAAAUGCGACCAUCCACCUUUCUCCUCUUCGCGAAUGCGAAGCUUCAAUGCGAACACAAUGACUAAACUGCUCAACACUAUGCAAAUGUGAACAAAGCCCCGUGAACGUGAAGAACAUAGUUCCCAGCUCCCAGUCUCUCUAUGCGAAUGCAAUACAGGCCACGCGAACGCGAAGACCUUCUGUCACGACCCCAAAAUCCCACCUUAGGUAGUCGUGAUGGUACCUAGUCUCUAAGACUAGGUAAGCCUAACACACAUAGAGAAUUUAAUAGAAAUAACAACUAAGAUAUUACAUUUAACUGAUAAAUACAAUGAUAAAACAAAAACGGAUCAGCGGUUACAUAAUCCUACUGAGUCAUAAGCUCUACUGAAAUAUACUAAACAUCUCUAAUACAAUACUGUUCGAAAACAAAAGAAACAGUAGCAUAAGAUCUCUAGAAGGUGACUUCGAUGCCUGCGGGCGUCAAACAUGUAUACCUUGAAGUCUCCACAAAGUCUGAGUUGAAUCACUGAUGACCGACACGAGCAAAAGUACCUGGAUUUGCACCAUAAUGUCCAGAACCGUAGCAUGAGUACACCACAACGGUAUCCAAUAAGUAUCAAGCCUAACCUCAGUUGAGUAGUGAUGAGGCUAGGUCAAGACACCUGCUAGACAUAGAAAUCUGUGCAGAAUAUUAAUAUAGUCUACUAGCGAAAGUAAAGAAAUAAAUGAAAACAAACAGAUUGAUGAUAUAAGGCUAACAACAAAAAUUAAAGCAAUAGAGGACAACAAAGAGUGAGCAUGUGAUAAGAAGAACAAGUGAUCAAAUACAGUCAAAAUACAAGUAAAGCGAAUGGAGGGAAAACAAUAAUUGCUCAAAUCAACAAGCGUUUUCAACAUAGAAUGUAAAUUAAGAAUAACAUCCGAGGUACCACACCUCAUACUCACAUUUCACAAGUCACAAUUAAAAUCUUCCUUAUAUCUCCGCGUGAGCCUUACAUAUAUAUUUUCAAAAAUAGUUUUUCCUGAAAUAGCUUCACACGUUUUAGACCCCUUAUCUCACCGCGUGGCUUCAAGUAAUUCCCUUACUAGCAACACGCAUAUAAAUCCCAACUUAUCUCGCCGCAUGCACAUCAACCCCUAUCCUUAUACCACCGCAUGCGCAUCAAUAUCACAACUCAAUAAUCAACUUGCAACACAUGCGCUCAUUUUCCACAAUAAUGCCAAAAUAAAUAAUACCAAUGUUACCACGACACAUAGCCCACGACUCAACUACAAUAUGUACAAAAAUCUCAAUAACAACAAAAUGAAUGAUAAAUAACUCAACAAGGAAAGGUAUUCCAAUAGGCAACAAUCUUAACCACAAACGUGUUAAUAGCUCUCAACAACUACAACUUCAAUUACUCAAUAAUAAAGGUACUUCCAUGAAAUGGCAUCUUCAAAUUCUAAUGCAUAACAUAAGCUUAACAAUGAAAGAGAUAGCAUGAAAUAGCAACUACGAUUAAAUGGAUGAGAAUAACUCAACAUUGGAAAGAACAGUAUGUAACAACAACUACUAAUAAAUGCAUAUAAGGGAAAAAUCGACAAUGGAUACUAGAACAUGUAAUAACAACUCCAAUUAAAACAUGUAAGAAUAAAACUUUACAAUGAAAGAUAGAACAAUUGAUAACAACUUCGAUUAAAUGUUUAUAUGUAACCUAAGAGUCUAAAAUCGGUCAAUUUUCACAUUUAAGCCCGUGUACACACUCAUUACCUCAUGUACACAUCUUCCGAAAAAUUCAAAUAGCACAAUUAAACCCAAUCCUAAGGGGUAGUUCCCCCCCCCCCCCACAAAGUUAGGAAAGAUACUUACCUCAAACAAGCUAAAUCAAUCCACUAAUAAUCCCUUCCCGCACAAAAUCUAACUCCGGACGUCUCGAAUGUGGCCAAAAUAACUUAAUAUCAUAAAUAAAAGCCAAAGGAAGCAAUUCCGGAUAACAAAGAUUCGAUCUUUAAUGAAAAUCAAAAUUCAACCCCGGGCAUGCAUAUCGAUACUCGACCAAACUCACAAAUUCCGAACUCACAUUCCGAUACGAGUCCAUCCAUGCAUAAAUCAUACAAUUCCGACUUCAAAUCGGCCCUCAAAUCCUCAAUUUAUGUUUUAGAAACGUUUUUACAAAAAUCUCCAAUUUCUCCAAUUCAAAUCACUAAUCAAACACUAAAAUUGAGGUUGGAAUUAUUUAAUAAUAACAAAUCUAAGUAAAAACACUUACCUCAAACCAACUCAUGAAAUUCUCCUCCAAAAUAGCCCAAAACCGAGCUCUCUAACUCAAAGUGUGAUAAAUGAAAUAAAACCCUCGUCCAACCUUAUAACCUGCCCUAGUAUUUCGCUUCCGCAGACAACCAGUCGCAUCUGCGGAAAAUGCAUCGCAUAUGUGGUCUUCACUUAAGACCAUAGAUAUCGCUUCUUCGGACCAAAGGGUUCACCUACACUUUUGCUUAUGUGGACAAAUCACCGCACCUGCGGUCCCUGCUCCCUCAACUCAAAUCCGUUUCUGCGGAUAUCUUCCGCUUAUGCGAUUGCGCACAUGCGCUUCCAUGUCCGCACCUGCGGACCCAUCUCCCCUAGCUAAAACUCGCAUCUUCAGCCAAGCAACUGCUUCUGCGGCCCAAACAUCGCAGGUGCGAAACACCAGUUCUCAGCAGCCUUCAACAAUGCUCUAAGUCCUGAAAUGCUCCGAACUCAACCCGAAACACACCCAGGGCCCCCGAGACCUCGUCCAAACAUACCAACUAAUCUCGAAACACGACACAAACCUACAGGGGGCCUCAAAUCACACCAAACAACAUCAAAACAAAGAAUCACACCUCAAUUCAAGCCUAAUGAACUAAUGAACAUUUCUAAAUUCAAAACUUGAGCCGAAUAAGUCUAAACAACUCCGAAUGACCUCAAAUUUUGCAUGCAAGCCCCAAAUGACACAAUGGACCAAUACAACUCCCAAAAUCACAAUUCGAGUCUGAUAUCAAUAAUUUCAACCCUCGGUCAAACCUAUCAACCUUUCAAACCUUCAACUUUCCAACUUUCACCAAUUUAAGCCAAAAUAACCUACAGACAUCCAAAUUCACAUCCAGAUAUAUGCCUAAUCCAAAAUCACUAUGCGAAGCUAUUAAAACCAUCAAAACACUAUUCCGGAGCCAUCUGCAGAAAAGUCAAACUCUGGUCAAGUCUUAUAACUAAGGCAUUCAACCAAGGGGAUAAGCGUCCCAAAUCAAUCCAAAACUUACCUGAAACCAAACCAAUCACCUCGGCACGUAGCGUAAUCACUAGAAGAGGCAAUAAAUAUGGAAACAAGGAUAAAAUAGUCAAAACGACCGGCCGUGUCGUUACAUCCUCCCCUUCACAAACGUUUGUCCUCGAACCAGUAUAGAAACAUACCCGAAGUACAAAAAAGGUGAGGAUAACAGCUACGCAUGUCAUGCUCAGUUUCCCAAGUCACCUCCUAGACAGGUUGACCUGUCCAUUGAACCUUCACUGAAGCAAUAUUCUUUGACCUCAACUUCCGGACCUGUCUCCAAGAUAGCCCCGACUCCUCAACAUAAGUCAAAUCCUUGUCCAAUUAGACUGAUCUGAAAUCUAAUACGUGUGAUGAAUCACCAUAAUACUUCUAGAGAAUGGAAACAUGGAACACCGGGUGAACUACUGAUAAGCAGGGUGGCAAUGCAAGUUUGUAGGCCACUUCACCCACUCUCUCAAUGAUCUCAAAAGGACUAAUAUAGCGAGGGCUCAACUUGCCCUUCUUCCCAAACCUCAUCACACCCUUCAUGGGUGACACUCUGAGCAAAACUCUCUCACCCACCAUGAAUGUAAUAUCACGAGCCCUUUGAUCAGCAUAACUCUUCUACCUAGACUGCGCGAUAUGAAGCCGAUCCUGAAUCAACUUGACUUAUUCCAAGUCAUCUCGAACCAAAUCAGUGCCCAACAGACUAGCCUCCCAUGACUCAAACCAACCAACUGGAGAACGACACUACCUCCCAUAUAAAGUCUCAUAAGUAGCCAUCUGAAUACUCGAUUGGUAGCUGUUGUUGUAGGCAAACUCUACGAGCGGUAGAAACUGAUCCCGUGAAGCCCCGAAAUUAAUAACUCAGUCACGUAGCAUAUCCUCCAAGAUCUGAAUAGUGCGCUCAGACUGCUUGUCCGUAUAGAGAUGAAAAGUUGUACUCAACUCGACCUGCGUGCCCAACUCAUGCUGUACCACUCUCCAAAAAUGCGAUGUGAACUGCGUGCCUUGGUCAGAAAUGGUGGAAAUGGGCAUGCCAUGCAGACGGAUAAUCUCCCAGAUAUAGAUCUGAGCUAACCGCUCUGAAGAAUAAGAUGUCUUUAUCGGAAUAAAGUGUGCGAACUUAGUCUACCGGUCCACAAUAACCCAAACUGCAUCAUAUUUCUUCAAGGUCUAUGGUAAGACUACCACAAAAUCCAUAGUAAUGCGUUCCCAUUUCCACUCCGGUAUCUCCAAUCUCUGAGUUAACCCUCCUGAUUUUUGAUGCUCAUACUUCACCUGUUGACAAUUCAAAUACCGAGAGACAUAAGCAACAAUAUUUUUCUUCAUUAUCCGCCACCAAUAGUAUUGUUUCAAGUCAUAGUACAUCUUCAUGACACUAGGGUGAAUGGAAUAGUGUGAGCUAUGAGCCUGCUCAAGUAGGGUUGCUUAUCGGGCGGAUUGGGAAGUUAAUUACUCUUAACGGUUUGGCUUAACGGUUAUCGGCUUUUAAAUGUAUUAAUCCGCUAGCCACCCGAUAAGAUAUCGGGCAGAUUGGUAUCGGUUUAGCUCUUAUCGGGUGGUUAUCAGGCGGUUUAUCGGCCUAAUUCAAUCUAUAUUGCGUGCAUUAAUUAUUUGCUGACCACCUAGCAUACAAAUUCAGAAUAGGAAAUUACACAUUGAGUCCAGACAUACAUGUCUAUUAAUGCCUACAUAAGAAUGAUGAAGUGUGUCAUGUGUUGUAGAGUGAAAAAACUGUGGCACAUCACUCCUGUUCUUCUAUUAAACAUAGGCGACAUGCAUUAGUUUAAAAAAAAACAAAAAGCAGAGGUGAACCGUAGACAACNNNNNNNNNNNNNNNNNNNNNNNNNNNNNNNNNNNNNNNNNNNNNNNNNNNNNNNNNNNNNNNNNNNNNNNNNNNNNNNNNNNNNNNNNNNNNNNNNNNNNNNNNNNNNNNNNNNNNNNNNNNNNNNNNNNNNNNNNNNNNNNNNNNNNNNNNNNNNNNNNNNNNNNNNNNNNNNNNNNNNNNNNNNNNNNNNNNNNNNNNNNNNNNNNNNNNNNNNNNNNNNNNNNNNNNNNNNNNNNNNNNNNNNNNNNNNNNNNNNNNNNNNNNNNNNNNNNNNNNNNNNNNNNNNNNNNNNNNNNNNNNNNNNNNNNNNNNNNNNNNNNNNNNNNNNNNNNNNNNNNNNNNNNNNNNNNNNNNNNNNNNNNNNNNNNNNNNNNNNNNNNNNNNNNNNNNNNNNNNNNNNNNNNNNNNNNNNNNNNNNNNNNNNNNNNNNNNNNNNNNNNNNNNNNNNNNNNNNNNNNNNNNNNNNNNNNNNNNNNNNNNNNNNNNNNNNNNNNNNNNNNNNNNNNNNNNNNNNNNNNNNNNNNNNNNNNNNNNNNNNNNNNNNNNNNNNNNNNNNNNNNNNNNNNNNNNNNNNNNNNNNNNNNNNNNNNNNNNNNNNNNNNNNNNNNNNNNNNNNNNNNNNNNNNNNNNNNNNNNNNNNNNNNNNNNNNNNNNNNNNNNNNNNNNNNNNNNNNNNNNNNNNNNNNNNNNNNNNNNNNNNNNNNNNNNNNNNNNNNNNNNNNNNNNNNNNNNNNNNNNNNNNNNNNNNNNNNNNNNNNNNNNNNNNNNNNNNNNNNNNNNNNNNNNNNNNNNNNNNNNNNNNNNNNNNNNNNNNNNNNNNNNNNNNNNNNNNNNNNNNNNNNNNNNNNNNNNNNNNNNNNNNNNNNNNNNNNNNNNNNNNNNNNNNNNNNNNNNNNNNNNNNNNNNNNNNNNNNNNNNNNNNNNNNNNNNNNNNNNNNNNNAUUAAGCUUCAGUUUCGGUUCAGUUUUCGGUUUCGGUUCGGUUUUGAACACCCUCAGCAAACUGGCGAGCCUUGAUAUUCUCCAACAACGAUGACUGUGCCACAAGACAAGCAAGAAUCCGGCUAGGCUCUCAAACAUCAAAUCUUACGAACCGGUUGGCCAAAGCUUGAACAUCCAUGGCUAGUGGCCUCUCCGUUACUAGUAAAUAUGCCAAACUGUCCAUGCUCUUAGCCUUCCUACUCAAUGUAUAGGCCACCACACUGGCCUUCCCCGGAUGAUAUAAUAUGGUGAUAUCAUAGUCUUUUAGUAACUAUAACCAUCUCAGGUACUACAAAUUAAGGUCCUUCUUCUUGAAUAGGUGGUGGAGACUCCGAUGGUUAGUAUAGACCUCACAAUGAAUGUUGUAUAAAAAGUGCCUCCAAAUCUUCAAUGCGUGAAUAAUAGCUGCCAACUCUAAAUUAUGCAGAGGGUAAUUCUUCACAAGUACCUUCAACUGCCGAGAUGCAUAAGCAAUCACCCUACCGUCUUGCAUCAACGCCAUGCCAAUCUCAAUAUGCAGGACAUCACAACACACGGUAUAAGAUCCCGAACCUAUAGUCAACACCAACAUUAGGGCUGAAGUCAAUGCAGUCUUGAGCUUCUAAAAGCUCGCCUCACACUCAUCGGACCAUCUGAAAGGAGCACCCUUUUGGGUCAAUCUGGUCAAAGAAGCUGCGAUGGAUGAAAAAUGCUCCAUGAAAUGGUGAUAAUAACUUGCCAAACCCAAUAAGCUCCGAAUCUCUGUAGCUGAAGACGGUCUGGUCCAACUCUGAACUAUCUCCACCUUCUUCGAAUCCACCUUGAUCCCCUCACUAGACACCACGUGACCCCAAAAUGCCACCGAAUUAAGCCAAAAUUCACACUUGGAGAAUUUAGCAUAUAGCUUCUUCCCUAUCAAGUUCUGGAGCACGAUCCUCAAGUGCUGCUCAUGAUCCUCCCAUCUGCGAGAAUAUAACAAUAUGUCAUCAAUGAACACGAUGAUGAAUGAAUCAAGAUAUGGCUGAAAUAUACUGUUCAUCAGGUGCAUAAAUGCUGCUGGGGCAUUAGUCAGCCCGAGUGACAUCACCAAAAACUCAUAAUGACCAUAGAGAGUCCUGAAAAGCUGUCUUCAGAAUGUCUGAAUCUCGGAUCUUCAGCUGAUGAUAUCCUGAUCUCAAAUCGAUCUUCGAGAACACUCUAGCACCUUAAAGCUGAUCAAAUAAGUCAUCAAUGCUCGGUAGUGGGUACCUGUUGUUGAUUGUAACUUUGUUCAAAUGUCUAUAAUCAAUACACAUCCUCAAAUAGUCGUCUUUCUUCUUCACAAAUAGAACUAGAGCACCCCAAGUUGAGACACUUGGUCGGAUGAAACCCUUAUCAAGCAACUCCUGAAGUUGUUACUUUAAUUCCUUCAGCUCUACUGGUUACAUAUGAUAUGGUAGAAUAGAUAUGGGCUGAGUGCCUAACAAUAUCUCUAUCGGGCAGCAUGCCUGGUAGGUCUGCUGGAAACACAUUUGGGAAAUCUCUCACUACCGAAACUGACUCAACCGUAGGAGUAUCAGCACUGACAUCCCUCAUGAAGGCCAAAUAUGCCUAGCACCCCUUCUCAACCAUCCGUUGUGACUUUAGAAAGGACACAACCCUGCUAGGAAUAUAAUCCAAUAUACCUCUCCACUCCAAUCGCAUCAACCCUGGCAUAGCCAAUGUCACGGUCUUGGCAUGACAAUCUAGAAUAGCAUGAUAGGCUAACAACAAACCCAUUCGCAAUAUUACAUCGAAAUCCACCAUACUGAGUAGCAGAAUAUCAACUCUGGUCUCAUAACCCCCGAUCAUGACCAAACACGAUCCAUAAACGUGGUCUACAAUAAUAGAAUCUCCCAUAGGCAUAGACACAUAUACAGGAACACUCAAAGAAUCAUGGCAUAUAUCCAAAUAGGAAGCAAGGUAAGAUGACACAUAUGAAUACAUGGAACUCGGAUCAAAUAAAACCGAUAUAUCCUUAUGACAGACUGAAACAAUACCCAUGAUGACAACAACUGAAGCAUCUACCCUGUGAACCCUAUAGACCCUGUGGAAUCCAUGGAGCCUGUGGAGUCUGUGGAGGUUCACCCCUUCUAAGUCUGGGAUAGUCCCUCACCAUAUUCCUCGUAUCAGCACACUCAAAACAACCUCUCGAUGGGCGUGGCUGCUGAAACUGAAUUUGACCCGGUAGGCUAGACUGACUGCUGAAGGCACCCCAUGUAUGAGGUGGACUCGUAAGUGGCUGUGCAUAAUGGGCAGUCUGAGACCUCAAAAUGGAUGGAGCAUUGUGAGUAGCUAGAAGUGCUAAAUGAACCGAUUGACUCACAUAACCUCUGCCAUGACGAGCUAAAACUGGAGUGCGGGCACCACUAAAUCCUCCAGAAUCUCGAGGCCAAGGCUUCUUGUCCUUCCUAUCUUCCCUCUCCUGGCCUCGCAUACACUCCAACCUGUGAGUGAUCUCCAAAACCUGCUAAAACGGCGUAUCAGUCUCUAACUCCUGAGCCAUACUGAAUCUAAGACCAUAACCGAGACCCCCUGAUAAAUCUGUGGACUCUAGUUCUGACCAUAGCAACUAAACCGGGUGCAUGACGUGACAACUCAUUGAAACUGAUGGCAUACUUUGACACUAUAUAGUUCCCUUAUGUAGCUGCUCAAACUCUAUACGCCAAGAAUCUUAGAGGGUCUUGGGAAAAAACUCCCUAAAAAACAUAUCCGAAAACUGAGUCCAAGUGAGUGGCACUGCAUCAUUAGGCCUACCCACCUCAUAAGCCUGCCACCACCUAUAGGCUGCCCCAAACAGCUGAAAUGUAGUAAUGGCAAGUCCUCUGACCUCCAAAAUGCCCAUGGUACGGAGAAUACAAUGGCACUUGUCUAGAAACCCCUACGCAUACUCAGUAACUACGCCACUGUAGGUAGAAGGGUCAUACUUCUUGAACCUCUCAAGUCUCCUCUGCUCCUCCUCCGAUGCCUCUGGCCUAAUCUCAGGCUGAACUAGAAUAACGGGCUGUGCUGGCAAAACUCUGGGAACCUGAUCAACAUGAACCAGCUACUCUGGAUUACGGGCCAUAGGAGUCUGAGCUCCUCCCCCAGCCUGAGAUAUAGUUGGUGCAACCGAGGUCAAUCCCGCCCGAGCUAAAGUACUGAACAUGCUCAGGAAGUGUGCUAAUGUCUCCUGGAGUGCAGGGGUAGUAGCAGGCAUCUCAGGUGCCUGCUCCCUAACCAGAGCUACCGGUGGCCCCUCCAUCGUUGCUAUGGCUGUGGCACGUGCCCCUCCUCGACCUCAACCACGACCCCAGCCUCUUGCGGCUCUUGUAGGGGACACAGGUGUAUGCUCAGCUGAUCCACUAGUGCGUGUCCUCGCCAAUUGUGAGAGAAUAGAAUGACAAAGGCUCAGAUUCCAAAAUAAAAAAAUCCACACGAUAAGGAAUCAAAAAAUGUGGAGUUUCCUAAUAGUUCCAUAACAUCUUGAAGAUAAGUACAGACGUCUCCGUACUGAUCCGCAGACUCUACUAAACUUGCUUAUGACACGUAGCACCUAUGAACCUAGGGCUCUGAUUCCAACUUGUCACGACCCUAAAAUCCCACCUUAGGUAGUCGUGAUGACACCUAGUCUCUAAGACAAGGUAAGCCUAACACACAUAGAGAAUUUAAUAGAAAUAAUGACUAAGAUAUUAAAUUUAACUGAUAAAUACCAUGAUAAAACCAUAACAAUUCAACAGUUACAUAAUUCCCAAAAUCGGUGGAACUGAGUCAUAAGCUCUACUGAAAUAUACUAAGAAUAUCUAAUACAAUACUGUUCAAAAACAAAAGAAACAAUAGCAUAAGAUCUCUAGAAGGUGAUUCCGAGGAUGCAGGUGUUAAGCAGGUAUACCUUGAAGUCUCCGCAAAGUCUGAGUCGAAUCACUGAUGACCAGCACAAGCAGAAGUGCCUGGAUCUGCACAAAAAUAUGCAGAACAGUAGGAUGAGUGCACCACAAUGGUACCUAGUGACUAUCAAGCCUAACCUCGGUUGAUUAAUGAUGAGGCCAGGUCAAGACACCUACUAGACAUAGAAAAUAUUAAUAUAGUCAACUAGCAAAAAGUAAAGAAAUAAAUGACAACAAACAGAUUGAUGAUAUAAGGCUAACAACGGAAAUUAAGGCAAUAAAGGACAACAAAGAGUGAACAAGUGAUAAGAACAACAAAUGAUCAAAUGCAAGUAAAAUGAAUGGAGGGAAAACAAUAAUUGCUCAAAUCAACAAGCUUUUUUAACAUAGAAUGUACAACAAGAAUCACAUCCGAGGUACCACACCUCAUACUCACAUUUCACAAGUCACAAUCAAAAUCUUCCUUAUAUCGUCGCGUGAGCCUUGCAUAUAUAUUUUUAAAAAUAUUUUUUCCCGAAAUAGCUUCAUGCGCUUAGCCCCCUUAUCUCACCACGUGGCUUAUCUCGACGCAUGUGCAUCAACCCAUCUUAUCUCGACGCAUGUGCAUCAACCCCUAUCCUUAUGCCGCCGCAUGCACAUCAAUACCACAACGCUAUAAUCAACUCGAAACACACGUGCUCAUUUGCCACAAUAUUGCCAAAAUCAACAAUACAAAGUUUAUCACAACAUAUAGCCCACGAUUAACUACAAUAUGUACAAGAAUCUUAAUAACAACAAAUUAAAUGAGAAAUAACUCAACAAGCAAAGGUAUUCCAAUAGCCAACAAUCUCAACCAUAAACGUGUUAAUAGCUCUCAACAACUACAACUUCCAUUACUCAAUAAUAAAGCUAAUUCCAUGAAAUGGCAUCUUCAAAUUCUAAUGCAUAACAUAAACUUAACAAUGAAAGAGAUAGCAUGAAAUAGUAACUACGACUAAAUGCAUGAGAAUAAAUCAACAAUGGAAAGAAUAGCAUGUAACAAAAACUACUAAUAAAUGCAUAUAAGGGAAAACUCGACAAUGGACACUAGAACAAGUAAUAACAACUUCAAUUAAAACAUGUAAGAAUAAACUUGACAAUGAAAGAUAGAACAAUUAAUAACAACUUUAAUUAAAAGUUUAUAUGUAACCUAAGAGUCUAAAAUCAGUCAAUUUUUAUAUUUAAACCGUGUACACACUCGUCACCUCAUGUACACGUCUUUUACAUAAUUCAAAUGCACAAUCAAACCCAAUCCUAAGGGGUAGUUCCCCCACACAAAGUUAGGCAAGAUACUUACCUCAAAAAAGCUAAAUCAAUUGACUAAUAAGCCCUUACCACGCUAAUCCAACUCCGAAAGACUCGAAUCUACCCAGAAUAACUUAAUAUCAUAAAUAAAAGCAAUUGAAAGAGAUUCCAGAUAAUAAAGAUUCGAUCUUUAAUUAAAAUUAAAAAGUCAACUCAAAAGGUCAACCCUAGGUCCGCAUCUCGGAACUUGGCCAAACUCACAAAUUCCGAACACCCAUUCCGAUACGAGUCCAACCAUAUCAAAAUCAUUCAAUUCCGACUUCAAAUCCUCUCUCAAAUCAUCAAUUUAUGUUUUAGAAAAGUUUUUACAAAAAUUCUCAAUCUUUCCAAUUCAAAUCACUAAUCAAACACUAAAAUCGAGGUUGGAAUCAUGGAAUAAUAAUAAAUCCGAGUAAAAAACACUUUUCCCAAACCAACUCGUGAAAAUCUCCUCCAAAAUCACCCAAAACCCAGCUUUCUAACUCAAAGUGUGAUAAAUGAAAUAAAACCCUCGUCCAAGCUUAAAAUCUGCCCAGGUAUUUCGCUUCUGUAGACAAACGAUCACAUCUGCGACUCCACAUCUACGGAAAAUGCAUCACAGAUGCAGUCUUCACUUAAGACCAGAGAUUCUUCUUAUGCGGACCAAAGGGCACACCUGCAUUUCCGCUUUUGCGGACAAAUCACCGCACCUGCGGUCCCUCUUCCCUCAACUCAAAUUCGCUUAUGCGAGUAUCUUUUGCUUAUGCGGUUGCGUACCUGCGCUUCCAUGUCCGCACCUGCGGGCCUAGCUCCCCUAGCCAAAACUUGCAUCUGCAUCCAAUCAGCUACUUUUGCGGCGCCGCACCUGCUGCCCAAAUAUCGCAGGUGCGAAAGCACCAAUUCUCAGCAGCCUUCAGCAAUCCUCUAAGUCCUGAAAUGAUUCGAACUCAACCCAAAACACACCCGGGUCUCUCGGGAUCCCAUCCAAACAUACCAACCAAUCCCAAAACACGACAUGAACCUACUCGAGGUCUCAAAUCACACCAAACAAUAUCAAAAUUACGAAUCGUACCUCAAUUCAAGCCUAAUGAACUAAUGAAUAUUUCCAAAUGCAAAACUUGUGCCGAACAAGCCUAAACAGCUCCGAAUGACCUCAAAAUUUGCAUGAAAGUCCAAAAUGACACAACGAACCUAUACCAGCUCCCGAAAUGAUAAUACGAGACAAAUAUCAAUAAAGUCAACCCUCGGUCAAACCUAUCAACCUUUCAAAGCUUCAACUUUCCAACUUUUGCCAAUUCAAGACAAAAUAACCUACAGACCUACAAAUUCACAUCCGGACAUACGCCUAAAACCAAAAUAACUAUACGAAGCUAUUAAAACGAUCAAAAUACCAUUCCGGAGUCGUCUACACAAAAGUCAAAUUCCGGUCAACUCUUACAACUAAGGGCUUCAACUAAUGGACUAAGUGUCCCAAAUCAAUCCAAAACUCACCUAAAACCAAAUCAAUCACCCCAGCAUGUCGCGUAAGCACAAAAAUACAUAGAAGAGGCAAUAAAUAGGGGAAAAGGGCUACAAUACUCAAAAUGACUGGUCAGAUCAUUACACCUUCAUGCCCCGACCCACCGUGAGUGCAACACAACUAACGCAAAUGCGAUGAAAAAUUUCCUCCAGUCUACUUUCCUCUUUGCAAACGCGAGACCUACCUCGCUAACGCGUUGCACACCUGACACCAGCAAUAGAAACUCAUCCGAAAUGGUCCGGGACAACCUCGAAAAAUACCUAAGCCCCUCAGGACUCUGUCCAAUCAUACCGACAAGUUCAAAUAUAUUAUCCAGAGGCUCAAAAAAUCACAAAUAACAUCAAAACCAAGAAUCGAAGAUCAAAUCAUUCUCUUAGCUUUCUAGCAUUCCAACUUCGUCAAACGUGUCCGAAUCACACUUCGACAUUCUGGAUCACAACCAAACUUUAUGCACAAGUUCCAAUCAAAUACAUGAACAAAGGUCUCAAAACUACAAUAAGUGUCCGAUAACACCGAGAUCAACUCCCGGUUAAACCUAUGAACUCUCCAAACCUUCAAAUUACCAAAUUUUGGAAAAUAGAGCCAAACCCUUAAAGGAAUCUCCUAAUCCAAAUCCGAACACACCUGUCACGGCCCAAACUCGGGGAGCGCGACCGACGCUCAACCGAGUGAACCCGACCGAGCAAGUCUGCUAGAUACUUUCUAUCCCAAACUCACUCAUUGAAAAAGAGGUGACAUAUAUUCAUUAAUUAAACAAUAGUGGGAUCAUGAAUACAAUACCAAAACCUUUCUAUUAAUUACUUCCCUUUUAAGUCUUAUAAUACACACCUUUUUAUAGUCUAAAGUGGAACAAGAGAUCAAAACACAACAUAAUAUGUUUGACUUUUCUAGUACCCAUGUACAACCCACAUAGUGUCUACGGAGCCUCUAAGAGAUACAAAAGAGAGUUAUGAUAGUGCUGGCAACAAGGCCCCGGCUAUACCUCAAAAUGUGAUAACAAAAUAUACAAAAGAUACAUGACCCCAGAAUGAGGUGGGGUUCACCAAUUCUGCUAGGAGGAAGGUGUACUGCUAUCACUGAUCAACACUGCAUGCUAUGGAACCACCUGCAUCCAUUUAAAGAUGCAGCACCCCCAGUAAAAGGGACGUUAGUACUGUCAAAUAGUACAAGUAUGCAAAGCUAAACACUAUCUCAAUUGAAUGAAUAAUAAUACAAGGGGAAAACAUUCAUGAGUUCAAUAAGGGUUUCAAACAAUACUAAAACAUCAAAUAAGGAUCACAUAAGUUUUCAAGUCAAUUUCUAUGUUAUUAGCUUGGGUGAUCUUUAGUGCCGAUAUACCACAAUUCACAAUACCUCUGUAUUCUUACACGGAGUCCGAUCUCGACCUGAUCGGCUAGGUCAUCCCAUUUGAGACAUCAACCAUAACCAUAAUUUUAUUUAUCAUUUUCAGCACAGUCACCACCAUGUGUGCGGCAUGGCAUCCGAUCACGGCCCGAUCGGCUAGGCUGUCUCACCCAAGACAUUACCUUUUUCAAUCAAUCAUCCCAUAUCAUACUUCAUUCAUAUUCUUUCGAUUCAUUGGCACUAGCGAUCACGAUUGCAAAGUCAUUCUUGGAACUUAGCUGUAUUUCAUAGUUCCAGUUCCCUUUUCCACAUUCAAAUAUCAUUANNNNNNNNNNNNNNNNNNNNNNNNNNNNNNNNNNNNNNNNNNNNNNNNNNNNNNNNNNNNNNNNNNNNNNNNNNNNNNNNNNNNNNNNNNNNNNNNNNNNNNNNNNNNNNNNNNNNNNNNNNNNNNNNNNNNNNNNNNNNNNNNNNNNNNNNNNNNNNNNNNNNNNNNNNNNNNNNNNNNNNNNNNNNNNNNNNNNNNNNNNNNNNNNNNNNNNNNNNNNNNNNNNNNNNNNNNNNNNNNNNNNNNNNNNNNNNNNNNNNNNNNNNNNNNNNNNNNNNNNNNNNNNNNNNNNNNNNNNNNNNNNNNNNNNNNNNNNNNNNNNNNNNNNNNNNNNNNNNNNNNNNNNNNNNNNNNNNNNNNNNNNNNNNNNNNNNNNNNNNNNNNNNNNNNNNNNNNNNNNNNNNNNNNNNNNNNNNNNNNNNNNNNNNNNNNNNNNNNNNNNNNNNNNNNNNNNNNNNNNNNNNNNNNNNNNNNNNNNNNNNNNNNNNNNNNNNNNNNNNNNNNNNNNNNNNNNNNNNNNNNNNNNNNNNNNNNNNNNNNNNNNNNNNNNNNNNNNNNNNNNNNNNNNNNNNNNNNNNNNNNNNNNNNNNNNNNNNNNNNNNNNNNNNNNNNNNNNNNNNNNNNNNNNNNNNNNNNNNNNNNNNNNNNNNNNNNNNNNNNNNNNNNNNNNNNNNNNNNNNNNNNNNNNNNNNNNNNNNNNNNNNNNNNNNNNNNNNNNNNNNNNNNNNNNNNNNNNNNNNNNNNNNNCACUUAAGAUCAUUCGUCCUCGAAUGAGGGUUAAGGUUCACUAUUAGUAUCUUAUGCAACUCAGUUUUGUUUUUCAUACCCCAUACCAGCAGCCCCAAAUUUAACUAACUCCCCAAAUUUCUAAACAUUUCGCCAGAGUUUUCCUUAUAACUAGGCCUAUCCACCUGUCAGAAAGCCCCAGAAUCACAUCCUUAAAACAUGUACACAAACCAACGAUGUAACAUAACUCAUAACAAUACCAACCGUGGCCUCAUGUAAACAACAUAUAAUCAAAAGGAACACUUUUACAUUAACUGAACAAGUGAUACAAAAUUCAUAGGCGACAAGUUCAUAAAAAGGGGUUACACAGCUAUUCAAACAAGUAAGGAUACUUCUUCUUCAUCUCUUCCUCGGCCUCCCAAGUGGCCUCUUCAACCUGCUAGUUUCACCAUAACACUUUCACGGAGGCAAUUUCUUUAUUUCUCAACUUUCGAACUUGCCUAUCAAGAAUGGCAACUGGAAUUUCUUCAUAUGACAGUCCUUCAUUGACCUGAAUGGUCUCAAUCGGCACAAUAGCUAACGGAUCUCCACCUACCUUCUUCAACAUAGACACAUGGAAUACAGAGUGCACUAAUGACAUAUCGGGUGGUAGCUCAAGCUUGUAUGCCACCUCACUGAUCCUCUGAAUGAUUCUCUACGGUCCGACAUAUCUCAGACUCAAUUUUCCUUUCUUACCAAAUCGCAUUACACCUUUCAUGGGGGAAAUUUAUAAAAAUACCCAAUCAUCUUCUUUUAACUCCAAAUCCCUACGACAAACAUCCAAAUAGGACUUCUGGCGACUCUGAGCAGUCUUCAACCCCUCCUUAAUGGCCUUAACUUUUUCCAUAGCCUGACGCACGAGGUCUGGCCCUAUCAAGCCUGCUUCCCCAAUUUCAAAUCACCCAAUGGGAUAUCUACAUCUCCUACCAUAUAAUGCCUCAAAUGGUGCCAUCUAAAUACUAGUAUGAAAGUUAUUGUUAUAAGCAAACUCUAUUAGUGGCAAAUGAUCAUCCCAUCUACCCUUGAAAUCAAGAUCACAAGCACGCAACAUGUCCUCAAGUAUCUAAAUAAUCCGCUCUGCUUGCCCGUCGGUCUAUGGAUGGAAAGUUGUACUAAGAUUCACCUGAGUACCCAAACCUUGCUGAAAUUUCUUCCAAAACUUUUCUGUGAACUGAGCCCCUCGAUCGGAAAUGAUAGAAACUGGAGUGCCAUGCAGCCUGACUAUUUUCUUGAUAUACAACUGAGCAUACUGUUUCGCUGUGUCAGUAGAUAUAACUGGCAAGAAAUGUGCUAAUUUUGUGAGGCGAUCCAAAAUCACCCAAAUUGAAUCAAACUUGUGUGGAGUGGGUGGUAAUCUUACCACAAAAUCCAUAUUAAUCAUUUCCCACUUCCACAUUGGAAUUUCUAUGUUUUGUGCCAACCCACUAGGCCGUUGAUGUUCGGCCUUCACUUACUGACAAUUCAGACUCCUUGCCACAAAGUCCGCCACAUUCUUUUUCAUAUAAUUCCACCAACAGACUUCCUGGAGAUCGUGAUACAUCUUUAUAGAACCUGGAUGCACGGAAUACCUAGAAGCGUGAGCCUCGAUCAUGAUUCUUUCUCGGAGAUCAUCUACAUUCAGAACACAUAGUCGCUCUUGGUACCUUAGUGUACCAUCAUCCAUGCCAAGAGUAAAAGCCAUAGUUUUAUGUUUGUGAAUCCCCUCCUUCAAUUGUACCAACAAUGGAUCGUCAUAUUGCUUCUCUUUGACUUCCACAACAAGCAAUGAUUCAACCCUAUUUUGCACAAUUAUCCCUCCUUCGCUAGAGUCCGCAAGACGAACUCCCAAACUAGCUAUCUGGUGAACCUCCCUGGCCAACGGCCUUUGAUAUGCCUUCAAUUGAGCUAAACUACCCAUAGAUUUUCGGCUAGGAGCAUCCGCAAUAACAUUGGCCUUUCCCGGGUGAUACAGGAUAUCGAUGUCGUAAUCUUUGAGUAACUCAAGCCAUCUCCUCUGCCUCAGAUUCAUCUCCUUCUGUUUGAAAAUAUAUCGAAGGCUCUUAUGGUCCGUGAAUAUAUCUACAUGGACCCCGUAAAGGUGAUUACGCCAAAUAUUCAAUGCAAGGUCAAAGUCAUUUGUUGGAUAAUUCUUUUCAUGAUUCUUGAGUUUCCUAGAAGCAUAAGCUAUCACCUUUCCCUGUUGAAUUAAUACAAACCCAAGCCCGAUCCUUGAAGCAUCGCAAUAUACCACAAACCCUUAUGUACCCUCUAGUAGGGUCAACACCGGUGCCGUAGUCAAUCUCGAUUUUAACUCCUGGAAGCUCCUUUCACAAACAUCGAACCAUUGGAACUUAACCACUUUCUGAGUCAAUUUAGUCAACGGAGAGGCAAGAGUAGAGAACCCCUCCACAAACUUUUUGUAAUACCCUGCUAAGCCCAAGAAGCUGCGAAUCUCGGUUUGCGUUGUAGGUCUAGGCCAAUUCUUUACUGCUGAAAUCUUUUGAGAAUCAACCUUAAUUCCUUCUCUGGAGAAAACAUGACCCAAGAAUGUGACAGAUUCGAGCCAAAAUUCACACUUUGAAAAUUUUGCGUACAAUUGGGGCUGAUGAAGAGUCUGUAACACUGCCCUGAGAUAAUUAGCAUGGUCCUUUCGACCUCGUGAAUACAGAAGAAUAUCGUCAAUGAACACUAUCACAAAGGAAUCGAGAAAAGGCUUGAAAACCCAAUUCAUAAGAUCCAUGAAAGCUGUCGGGGCAUUUGUUAGCCCAAAAGACAUUACCAGAAAUUCAAAGUGCCCAUACCGGGUUCUGAAAGCUGUUUUCGGAAUAUCCUGCUCCCUGAUCUUCAAUUGGUGAUACCCAGAUCGUAAAUCAAUUUUGGAGAAGUAUCUAGUACCCUGUAACUGAUCAAACAAAUCAUCUAUUCUUGGUAACGGGUACUUAUUUUUGAUUGUGACUUUGUUGAGCUAUCGGUAGUCUGUACACAUCCUCAGUGAUACAUCUUUCUUCCUCACAAAAAGGACCGGAGUGCCCCAUGGAGACACACUCGGUCGGAUGAAACCCUUCUCUAACAAAUCCUUCAAUUGUUCCUUUAGCUCCUUUAAUUCUGCGUGCCUGGAAUCAUAUCAAUCCUAAAAUCAAUCUCCCUGUAUGGCGGAAUCCCAGGGAGUUCAUCAAGAAAGACCUUUGGAAAUUCAUUCACAACUGGCACAGACUCGAGUGUAGGUGCCUCAACAUCGGUGUCCGUAACCCGGACCAAAUGAUAGAUACACCCCUUGUUAAUCAUCUUCGUGGCCUUAAGGUAAGAAAUAAACCUACCUUUUGGCAUCACAUCAUCCCCCUUCUAUUCAACAACUGGCUCAUUUGAAAAUUCAAACCUCAUAGUUCUAGUUCAACAAUCGAGCUUGGCAAAGCAUGAAUAAAGCCAAUCCAUUCAACUAAUUACAUCAAAAUCAACCAUCCCCUAUAAACCCAUGCGGCCAAAAUAGACUCACCAACCGAAGUAGAUACAGAUAACGGCUCAUGAUGUUGUUCCGGUUCUAUCCCAAAUUCUAUAGAAACAUAAGGGGUAACAUAGGACAAGGUGGAGCCGGGAUCAAUAAGAGCAUAUACAUCAUGAGAUUGGAUAGUCAAUAUACCUGUGACAACAUCUGGAGAAGCCUCUGUACUUUGGCGACCACUCAUAGUAUAGAAAUGGCUGGGUACUCCUGAACUCUGUGCGCCACCCCUAGCUACACAUUGCCCUGCUGGUGCCGGAGUGCCUUGAGCUAGAGGGGGUGCUGAAGAUGUAGCAGCUGCAGAACUGGAUGGCUGUGUUGUGGCCCUACCCGCACCCUGGCGGGAUAAUCGACACUCCCUCUGAAUAUGACCCAUCAUUCUGAACCCAUAACAUGUAGGUAGGUCCAUGUAGCAGAUCCCCAAGUACAUCUUCCCACACCUAGGGCAUGGGGGCCUCCGCUGCUGCUGGAAUUUCCCUCUUGAUCGACCCUGCUGGUGGGGUCCCCUACUGCCCUGAUUGGGCCUGAAAUGCCUCCCCUGCUGCUGACUGGGCCCUGUUGGCGGUGCACUGGCUGAAGACUGAGCAAAAGACUGGGAUGGCCCUGAUGACCCUCCCCUAAAAGCUGACUCUUCCCCCCCCAAAUGAACUCCCUAAAGUUGCCCGCAGACCGGGCCUUGCUGGUACCCUCUCGCUCCAUUCUGUUCUUCAACUUACGGUUCUCUAUAGCUUGAGCAAAUGCUACCAUCUUCCUAUAGUUCAUAUCUAAAUUCAAAGCAGCUGUAGCGGCCUCAUCGAUAACCAAGGAGCUAAGGCCCUGUCAAACCGGCGCACUCUAGCCUCCAUAGUAGGCAACAUGAGAAUGGCAUAUUUAGACAGACGCGCGAACUCCAUGUGAUACUUCCACACACUCUUACUACCUCGCUUAAGGUUCUCAAACUUUGCGGAAUGGGCUGCCCUAGUCUCGGCCGGCAAGAAAUGGUCCAUGAAAGCGUCAGCAAACUCACUCCACCUCACUGGAGGGCUACCCUCCUCCCGAGAGUCCUCCCACAACUCAAACCAAGAAUAGGCCACCCCUUUCAUAUGGUAGGCAGCCAACUCCACUCCCUCCAUCUCAGUAGCGCGCAUAACCCGUAGAGUCUUAUGCAUCUCAUCAAUGAAGUCUUAUGGGUCCUCCUCGGGAUUAGCACCCGUGAACACCGGAGGAUCCAACUAAAGAAAUAUGUUUACCCUGGAACCACUAGAAUCCCGUUGUUGGCUAGAAGAAGAGGGUGCAACAUUUGAUCUCUGGGCUUGAGAAGCCACUAUCUGUGUCAGCAUCUAGAUAGCUCCCCUAAAAUAAAUAUCAGAAACACCAGAACCGGAAGUUGGGGCUGGUGGUGGAAUCAGAGUAUCAGUUGGAGGAACCGCUGCACCCUCAGUAGGUGCAGGAACUGGUGUGGCCUGAACAGGUGUAGUGGAAUCAGGUAGUGUAGCAGUCGGGGGAUUUUCCUCACCCCUCGGUUAUUCACCCGCCUCACCAAGUAAAGGGUCAACUGCCAAUCAUAAGGCGGCAUUGGCUCCUUGGCUAGUUCUUGCUCUCUUUUUAGGUGCCAUGUACUAAAAGUUAAAGAAAUGCACGGGUUAGAGGAGGAACAAUUUCGCAAUCCGUUUCAUCACACGAUCCAGAAUAUCAAAGAAGGGUAUUAUUCCUAAAUGUCCAAGUAGCCUCCAACUUAUAGAUGUGGUCGACAACACACCGAUAAAAAAGAAUCUACUAGACACAGCUCUGAGACAUCCUAGGAUACUUUAAAACCUUAGGCUCUGAAACCAAGUUUGUCAUGCCCCAAACUUGGGGAGCGCGACCGGCGCUCAACCGAGUGAACCCGGCCAAGCAAGCCUGCUAGAUACUUUCUACCCCAAACUCACUCAUUUUGAAAGAGGUGACAUAUAUUCAUUAAUUAGACAAUAGGGGGAUCAUGAAUACAAUACCAAAACUUUUCUAUUAAUUGCUUCACUUUUAAGUCUCAAAAUACACACUUUUUUAUAGUCUAAAGUGGAACAAGAGAUCAAAACACAACAUAAUCUUUUUGACUUUCUAACACCCAUGUAUAACCCACAUAGUGUCUACGGAGCCUCUAAGAGAUACAAAAGAGAGUUAUGAUAGUGCCGGCAACAAGGCCCCCGCUAUACCUCAAAACGUGAUAACAAAAUGUACAAAAGAUACAUGACCCUAGAAUGAGGUGGGGCUCACCAAGUCUGCUAGGAGGAAGGUGUACUGCUAUCGCUGAUCAACAUUGCCUGCUAUGGAACCACCUGCAUCCAUUUAAAGAUGCAGUGCCUCCGGCAAAAAGGGAUGUUAGUAUUGUCGAAUAGUACUAGUAUGCAAAGCUAAACACCAUCUCAAUAGAAUGAAUAAUAAUAGAAGGGAAAAUAGUCAUGAGUUCAAUAAGGGCUUCAAACAAUACUAAAAUAUCAAAUAAGGAUCACAUAAGUUUUCAAGUCAAUUUUCAUGUUAUUAGCUUGGGUGAUCUUUAGUGCCGAUAUACCACAAUUCACAAUACCUCUGUAUUCUUACACGGAAUACGAUCUCGACUCGAUCGGCUAGGUCGUCCCAUUAGAGACAUCAACCAUAACCACAAUUUCAAUUAUCAUUUGGAGCACAGUUACCACUAUGUAUGCGGCAUGGCGUCCAAUCACAGCCCGAUCGGCUAGGCCGUGUCACCCAAGACAUUACCUUUUUCAGUCAAUCAUCUCACAUCAUACUUCGUUCAUAUUCUUUCGAUUCAUUGGCACUAGCGAUCACGAUUGCAAAGUCAUGCUUGGCACUUGGCCGUAUUUCAUAGUUCCAGUUCCCUUUUCCACAUUCAAAUAUCAUUAUCAUUAUCAACAACAAUAGGGAUUCCCAUUCAAGACAUUAAAUUCACAUAUGAGCAAUUUGGAAAAUCUUAGGUACAUAAAGGCUUUUCAUAAAAUUUGGCAUAACAAUCUUUAUUUCGAUCUUAACCUGAAGUCUUAACAUUUCUAACACAUAUUCCACAUUUUGAAAACAUCCUCAAAUGCCAAGAUGGCAUGAUGAAGCAUUUAGAAUAAGUAUUGAAUAUACAUCCUUCAACACAACCACAUUAGGAAUAGCCAAUCCAAUAAUGAUCAAGGACUUACUCAAAUUACAUGAACAUCGUGGGAUUCGAUUCUAAGAAGAAGGGGGUUUAGCCAACAUACCUCAAUUGAGUUUCCUUAUAUUUUAUAAUGUUCCGGAAUUCUUAGCAACUUCGAUCUAUUUUAGAAAUAUAACAAGUUUGACUAAAAUUAGGAAGAUUAUCAUGAUUCUAACUCAUUUGAGUGCAUUAUCAAACACUAGGGCAUUAAUGUUUUAAGGCCCUUUUUGUGGAUGAUUCCACCAUUCCCCAACCCAUUCUCUACCAUUUUUAGCUAACAAACUUCUCACAUACUUCAAGGAUACAUGCAUGCAAGACAACAACCCCCACACCCAAGAAUUGUCUUUCUAAUUAUCCCCCUUUUUAGAAGAUUUUCGAAAUUAUGAUCUAGGGCAUAGAUUCUUACUUUUAGGAUGAAGACCUAGGGUGCUUCUGUUGAUAAUAUUCAAAGGUUUAUGCAAGAAUUGAAGAGUAACUUGAUGAAGAUCACUUUCUCCCUCUAGGACUAUCUCUCACACUCUAAAGUAUCAGGUUUUGCUAAAAAAUGGCCCCUUACAUCUAUUUUAACGAAGUAGGGUCGGGUUUUAAAAACCAAAAAAUAAAGCUCCGGAACAGGUUCUGCGGUCGCAUAUGCAAUCGCAUAAUGGUUAUGCGGUCCGCUAAAUGACCGCGAAAUUGGGGUGCCAAAACUAGAAAGAAACUAACCAGGUUUGCGGUCAUUAUGCGGACCGCAGACCUGUUUUGCGGUCGCAUAAUGUACCGUAAAACGGUUCUGCGGUCGUAUAGUGCACCGCAGAACCUCCCUCCGAAAAAUCCCAAAGCGGGAUAUGCGACAAGAGUGCGGCCCACAAAAUGGUUAUCGGUCGCAUAAUGGGUCCGCAAAAAUGACAUUAAAAAUGGCCCAAAAGACUGCUCCACUAUGUGGCCAUUCUGCGGUCCGCAGAAUGCUUCUGUGGUCGCAGAACGGACCACAGAAAUGCCUACUUCUGCCCAACAUUUUCCUUCAACUCCCCAGCGCACUGUUCAAUCCAAAAAGCCUGAACCGCGGCUCGCAAGCUCGUCGCAAAGAAUUUCUACUAUUAUUAACCUCUACACCUACUUUGGCAUCACGGAACCCCGAUUUUUAGGAAAACUUUUACGGGGCCUUACAACACCCCAAAGUCCAAAAUCAUCAUAAGAACCUAUUGUUGCCAUCAAAUCCCGAUACCAUGGUAGUUUACUGAAAGUCAAAUAUUGGUCAACUCUACCAACUUAAAGCUUACAGAUUGAGAAUCACUUUAUCAAAUCAAUCCCGAACCUUGCAAACAUCAAAACCAACCAUAUAUGCAAGUUCUAAUAGAUCAUAUGAAGUUACUCAAGGUCGCAAACCGCCGAACGAAAUGCUAAAGAUCAAAAUGACCGGUCGGGUUGUUGCAUUCUCCCCCACUUAAAAAUACGUUCGUCCUCGAACGUGCCAAGAGUCAUUCCAAAGUCAUCAAAUCGCAAUAAGAAAUCAUCAUAAACAUACCUAUGGGUGAUCUCACGUCAACUCAAUCCAUAUAAGUCGAUUAGAACAACCCCGACUGAAGAUUCUUUCUUCAACCCUAGCCCAUAAGCCUUAGAACCUGUCACAACCCAAAAUCCCUCCGAAGGAGUCGUGAUGGCACCUAGUCUCUAAAACUAGGUAAGCCUAACAUUAACUGAAAUAACGUCAAUGUUUACUAACAUCGAACAAUUUCUAAAUAAAAAUCUCUAUCCAAUUUACAAUCCCAAAACUGGUAGUACAAGUAAUAAGCUCUACAUAGUUUGUUACAAUUUUCUAAAUACAACUAUUUGAAAUAAAGUAAACAGUGUGAAUACAAAUCAGAAGGUGACUCCGAAGCCUACGAACGCAGCAGCAGGUUUACCUUGAGUCUCCAUAACAACAAUCCGCACAGCUAGCUAAUGAUCACCUGACUUCGAAAAUACCUGGAUCUACACAAAAAAUGUACAUAAGUGUAGAAUGAGCACACCACAACGGUGCCCAGUAAGUAUCAAGACUAACCUCGGUGGAGUAGUGACGAGGAACAGUCAAGACACCCACUGGUCUAAUAAACUGAACAAGUAUAAGUAUAUGAACAACAAAAAUAUGAUACUUACAUAAAGACUAUGCAAUAUGGCUCACAAUACAGUAAUGGCAAUAAGAAAGGAAAUAACAAGUAUCAGCGAAAUACCAUAAAAACAUGACACAGAAAUAUGAAUGGAACACAUCCUAAAUCCAGAAUCAUAAAUAAAGUAAGGACAAGUAAUAACUCAGCAACUACAACUGCUUUUACAUCAGGUUUUAGUCAUCAAACUCCACGAGGUACCGAACCUCAGACAAUUACAACUUACGGGUCUCAAUACCUGAACCCUAACACUUGUCAUCCUGUGCCCUCAUUACACUUCAUAACCGCACUGACGACUCACGUGCCAAAUAGAUCCAUUCUCACAUAGAAGGCAAGUAAAAAAGGGUGAGCAUCUAUGCUCAACAAUAUUAAGAACACCUCUUAUCCGAUAAGAGUGCUUAACUACGUGUAUGCUUGUGCAAGUGUCCUAACAUAGUCCAUACCAACAAAUAGGCAUAAGGAAAAAUAAACGGACAACACGUAGAAUAUUUUCUCACAGUUUUCACAAGAUAAAGCUCACACAGGUAAGAGUACCACUAUACAAUUAUCAACAACAAGAAUGCCCCCAGGCCAUCACAAAUCAAUCCUUGACACAGCCCGCCUUGUCUUGCCACGUGUGCAAUAGUAAAAUGAAUGCCCGCCUUGUCUCGCCACACGUGCAUAAUAAUGUUCCCACCUUGUCUCGCCUCCCCCCCCCACANNNNNNNNNNNNNNNNNNNNNNNNNNNNNNNNNNNNNNNNNNNNNNNNNNNNNNNNNNNNNNNNNNNNNNNNNNNNNNNNNNNNNNNNNNNNNNNNNNNNNNNNNNNNNNNNNNNNNNNNNNNNNNNNNNNNNNNNNNNNNNNNNNNNNNNNNNNNNNNNNNNNNNNNNNNNNNNNNNNNNNNNNNNNNNNNNNNNNNNNNNNNNNNNNNNNNNNNNNNNNNNNNNNNNNNNNNNNNNNNNNNNNNNNNNNNNNNNNNNNNNNNNNNNNNNNNNNNNNNNNNNNNNNNNNNNNNNNNNNNNNNNNNNNNNNNNNNNNNNNNNNNNNNNNNNNNNNNNNNNNNNNNNNNNNNNNNNNNNNNNNNNNNNNNNNNNNNNNNNNNNNNNNNNNNNNNNNNNNNNNNNNNNNNNNNNNNNNNNNNNNNNNNNNNNNNNCCAUAAUAACAACCACACGGCAGAAACCUCAUGCAUCACAAUAACAACAACCGCAUGGCAGAAACUUCGUGCAUCACCACAAUAAUUACUACAGCAAGAAUGACAAUAAUACAAGGGUACGACGAAUAAGUCAACUCAGAAAUUCCAGAACUCAAGGAAAAGAGGAGCUAAUUCACAAGGAGUAGCAACAAUAGAGAAUGCUAGUCAUAAUAAGAACAACUCAACAAGAAAGGAAAUAUUAUGUAACAACGGUCCACAAUGUACAGUUCGACAAUAAGGGAACUAACCCAAGACGAAUAAUUCCAAAUAAGGACAAGUCAACUAAAAUAUAGGGUAUCUAACUUCAUUUAUGGUUGGCAAUUAAGAAAGAGAUACAACAAUUUCAAUUAGGGAUAAGCAACAGAAAGAUAAUCAUAGCCUCAAUUAAGGAUGAACAAUUAUAAAAGAGAUAAUUAUAACUUCAAAUAAAGAUAAAUAGUUAGGGGAAAAAUAACAUGGCAAUAAAAGAGAUAACAAUUUCAGUUAAGGCACAUAUGAAUCAAACGAACAACAAGGGUGGAUCAUGAAGCAAUUAAUUCCAAUUAACGCAGGUAGAAGUGAAACUGGAAAUUAAGAAACGUAAUCAUAACGAGAACAACUGCAUAUUCAAUGAAUAUAAGGACCUAAGAAUCCCUAAAAGGCCAAUUUUCCACAAAUAAGUCCGGGCACGUACUCGUCACCUCGCGUACACAGACUACAAUUUGCAUAGAAGACUUAAUUCCUAAGGGGUAGUUCCCCCACACGAAGUUAGGCAAGAUACUUACCUCAAAGAAGACAAACCGAUACACAAAAAUGAUCUUCUCGGUGAAAUGGCCUCCGGACGGCUCAAAUCUAAUCAAAAUUACUUCAAAGCACAAACAAAACUCAUAAGAAAUUAUUCCGGAUCAUAAAGCCUUAUUCUUUAUCAAAAUCUAAAAAUCGACCCAAAAGUCGACCCCCUGGCCCACACCUCGAAACCCGACAAAUUUCACAAAAACCCGAACACCCAAUCCGAUACGAGUUCAACCAUACUAAAAUUAUCAAAUUCGAUACCAAUUCGUCCCUCAAAACAUGAUUUUUCAUUUUAAAAUUUUCUUUAAAAUCCUCCAUUUUCCUCAACUCAAAACACAAAUUAAAUGAUAAAAAUAAAGAUAAAAUCAUGAAAUAUAAUAAAUUCAAGGUGAAGAACACUUACCCAAUUGAUUUGCUUGAAAACCCCACAAAACAUCGCUCAAAACCAAGCUCUACAAGUCAAAAUAUGAUGAAAAUGGCCUAACCCUCGAUUUGAAAAACUUAUAUUCUGCCCGGGUCUGAAAGCAUCGCAAACGCGGAGAAAGGCUCGCGUUCACGAAGAAGAAAAAUAAAAGCUGCCCAGUUGUGCUUCGCUAACGCGAAGACAAGCUCGCGAACGCGGAGAAGAAAAUAAUUACGGCCGGAAUUAGUGCUACGCGAUCGUGAAUUAUCAUAUAUGAUCGCGAAUAAGUAAAUUGAUGGCCGAGGAACUGGGCUACGUGAACGCAUGAAAUGGCACGCGAACACGAAGGAGGGGAAAGCACACUUACGUGUUUGCGUAUAGAACAGUGCGAACACGUAGAGGAAAUGGUCACCAGCUCCCAACUCCUAGUUUCUACUACGCGAACGCGAUGCAGCGGAUGCGAACGCGAAGAAGGGGGAAGGCAGGCUUCCGUGAUCACAGAAGGAGUUAUGCGAACAUGGAGAACAAAUUAUUCAUCCUCCAAAAUUACACUACGCGAUCGCGGAGGAAGGGACGCGAACGCGAAUGAGAAAACCAGAUGACAAAUAUCAGCAGUUCAAAAAUAGAAGAAAAUGGCUCGUAGCCCAUCCGAAACACACCUGAGGCCCCCGGGACACCGUCUAAACAUACCAACCAGUUCCAUAACCUAACACGGACUCGCUCGGGGUCUCAAAUCACAUCAAACAACUCCAAAAAUACAAAUCGCACCACGAAUCUAACUUAUGAAGUCCCAAAACAUCCAACUUCUAAAACUCGUGCCGAAACCUAUCAAACCAACCGAGAAUGACGUCAAAUUUUGCAGGCAAGUCCCAAAUAACAUAACAGAGCUGUUCCAACUCUCGGAAUCGCAUUCCGACCCCGAUAUCAAAAAGUCCACUUCCGGUCAAAAUCUCCAAAAGUAUCGACUUUCGCCAUUUCAAGCCUAAAUGAGCUACAGACCUCCAAAACAUAAUCCGGACAUGCCCCUAAGUCCAAAAUCACCCAACGGAGCUAAUGGAACCGACAUAACUCCAUUCUGGAGUCGUCUUCACACAGUUCGGACUACGGUCAAAAUCCUAAGACUUAAGUUUCCGUUUUAGGGACUAAGUGUCCCAAAUUACUCCGCGUCACCCGGUAACUGAAUCCAACCACGCACGCAAGUCAAUACACAUAAUACGAAGCAGCUCAGGGCCUUAUGCCACCAGACGUGACUUAAAUUCUCAAAACGAUUGGCCGGGUCGUUACAUCCUUCCCCUCUUAAACAAACGUUCGUCCUCGAACGUGCCAAGAAUCGCCUCGAAGUCUUUAAAUCACUGAAUGCAUAUGUCCAACAUACACCCGCGGGCAACCCCAUGUCACCCCAAUCCACAUAAGCCUGACGACACCAUCUCAACUGUAAUUUAUCCUUUCUAUCAACACCGAUAAGCCUUAGAGUCAAAAUUCUCACCUUCCAUUUAUCUUCAAAAGACUCGAUUCUAAAUCCAUAACCAGUAUCUGUCUCAACCAGUUGUAACAACUCAUGCCUACACCAAAUAACCACACAACAAGACACACCACACAUAGGCCCAUAACAGUAUUUCUGAUCACAAUAGUAGCCCGUAAUCAAAACCAGCACCGGCAAUUAGCCUCAUAUCCGUUAGAACCCAGUUUCAAACCUCCACAACACUCACAACGAUGCACGAAACAUGAAGACCUCUUAACUAUACACCCGAAUCAACAAGUCACAACUAACACCACUGGGAACACACGCCGCAAGCUAAAACUCAAGAAGUACAGAAUGAAAAUGACUGAAUAUGUAAAGAGAAACACAUAAGGGAACUAUCAAACAAGCCCGACAUGCACAACUCUCUAAUAGUACCAUACUACGAAUCAAUUCAAAAGGAAAAAUCAAAGUACAUGAACAAAUCAUAAGGAUCUCAUCCUAGUAUAACCUUCCACCGCGGCACACAGCCCGACUCAAACAUAUCAAAUCACAUGGAAUCGCGAGGGUCUCACCCUCAACUCUGAAUCACAAGCCGAAUACACAUCAUACAAAUUGAAAUCUUCCACUAACUCAAUUCUAUCAAUAAAAUCACAACACUUACUGAACUCUCAUACCGGUAGAGUAUCAAAUCACAAAUCAUAACCAAAUUAUUCAGGAAUCACAUCAAACCUGUAAUAAUAGACAACAUGAAUUCACUUCUAGUCUCGUAACUCUCAAUAAUGAAUUUAAAAAAUGAUAGACACGACUAUCACUCAUAGAACCGCCCAACAGGAGUAAACACAUAAACAUAAUACUAAGUCAUGAACUCACCCAUAGGUGGGACAACAAAUAGGGUAACUCGCCCUGAUAAGCAGAACCGAAUCAAAAUACGAAUGGUGCCCCUCUGUAACAAAUCAAAAGCAUACCUGUAUGACAUUAUCUAGCGCAGUGACCUCAAGCAUACUAUAUGAAGCACAUCAAUGGGCCAGGCCUACCCCUCUUGGGCGCCCUCUACUCGCCUGAAUACUCCGCUGUGACACACCUGUCCGGAGUCUAGGACAAUCUCUCACCCCGUGGCUGGUAUCUCCUCACUCAAAGCAACCUCUCUGUUGAUCUGGCUGUGGGAACUGUGCGGUACGGGUACUCUAAGACCCAUGAGCACCUGAAACACUGUGCGAAGCCUUAAGUGCAAACUGAACUAGCUGACCCAAAAACCUCUACCAUGUUGUACCCUGCCUCCAAAAUAAGGACCAAUAGAUUUCUCCGGUCUACGAGGCCUCCUCACCUCCCUUUACUCUCUCUCCUGACCUUGCCUAUCCUCUCUCUCAUGGCCCCACCUAUCUCCUCUCUCCUGAUCCCACAUGCCCUCUACUCGGUGAGCGAUCCCUACUACCUGCUAAAACGAAACAUCCGACUCUAACUCCUAAGCCAUGCUGAACCGAAUAUCAUUCCUGAGCCCCUCAAUGAAUCUAUGGACAUGCUCUCUAACUAUAGCGACCAAAGGAGGUGCAUGUCUGGCCAAAUCACUGAAUUUAACGGCAUACUCUGACACUGACAUAGUGCCCUGGCGUAGCUGCUCAAACUCUGUGCGCCAUACAUCUUGAAAGGACUGAGGUACAAACUCUCUCAGGAACAUCUCUGAAAACUGAACCCAUAUAAGUGAUGCUAACUCGGUGGGGCUACCCAACUCAUACGCCCGCCACCACUGAUAAGUCUCUCCUUUAAGCUGGAACGUAGUAAAAGCAACCCCAUUCAUCUCAACAAUACCCAUAGUGCGGAGAAUGCGAUGGCACUCCUCUAGAAAACCCUGUGCACUCUCUGAAGCCAAACCACUGAAUGUAGGAGGGUCAUAUUUCUUGAACCUUGCAAGUCUAAGCUGCUCUUCCUCAGAUGCUGCUGCCCUAACCACGGGCUGAACUAGGACCACAGGAUGUGUCACCAUGACACCUGGAACCUGACCAACAUGAACUCGCUGCUCUGGGGUAUGGGCGGCGGGAGCCUGGGUUCCUCCCUCGGUCUGUGAAGUAGCUGGUGCAACCGGAAUCAACCCCGCCUGAGCCAAUAUACCAAACAUGCUCAGGAACUGUGCUAAGUUCUCCUGAAGUCCGGUGGUAACAGCAGGUGCCUCCGGUAUCUGCCCCCAACUAGAACUACUGGUGGCUCCUCAACUGUUUCUAUGGUAGGUGCCCUAGCUGCGGCAUGUGCUCCUCGUCGGCCUCUGCCUCUGCCCCUAGCGACAUCUGCUCCGGGUAUAAUGUCAUCAGCAACAUCAGCUCGUGUCCUCACCAUCUGUGAUAGAAUGGAACUAUAAAAGUUAAAACUUCGAGACCAAUGAACUCUCACAAUAGGAAUGAAGGAAGUGAAACUGUCCUAAUAGUUCCAUAGCCUCUCGAAGAUAAGUACAGAUGUCUCCGUACCGAUCCGCAAGACUCUACAAAACUCGCUUAUGAAUCGUAGCACCUAUGAACCUAGAGCUCUGAUACCAACUUGUCACGACCCAAAAUCCCUCCGAAGGAGUCGUGAUGGCACCUAGUCUCUAAAACUAGGUAAGCCGAACAUUAACUGAAAUAACGACAAUGUUUACAAACAUCGAACAAUUACAAAAUAAAAAUUUCUAUACAAUUUACAAUUCCAAAACCGGUAGUACAAGUCAUAAGCUCUACAGAGUUUGUUAUAAUUUUCUAAAUACAACUGUUUGAAAUAAAGUAACAGUGUGAAUACAAAUCAGAAGGUGACUCCGAAGCCUGCGAACGUAGCAACAGGUUUAUCUUGAUUCUCCACAACAACAAUCCGCACAGCUAGCUAAUGAUCAACUGACUUCAAAAAUACCUGGAUCUGCACAAACAAUGUGCAGAAGUGUAGAACGAGCACACCACAGUGGUGCCCAGUAAGUAUCAAGACUAACCUCGGUAGAGUAGUGACGAGGAACAAUCAAGACACCCACUGGUCUAAUAAACUGAACAAGUAUAAGUAUAUGAACAACAAAAAUAUGAUAUCUACAUAAAGACUAUGCAAUAUGGCUCACAAUAUAGUAAUGGCAAUAAGAAAGGAAAUAACAAGUAUCAGCGGAAUACCAUAAAAAAAA